rnacentral:lncRNA from 1 species
AGUACUUUUGUCCAUAACUUAGAAAAAUGGAGUAAAAUAACGAGUAAAACACCUGUACGUCUAGUAGAGUGAUUUCUACAGUUCUUGUAAGAGGCAAUGAUAGAGGAAUAAGGAAUACGAAAUACGGGGUGUAAGACCCAGCGUCUUCGAACAAAGAUGAAACGAAAUCGGGAAAUUAUCGCAGUUUAUUUGUGCACCGAGCUUUGUGUACGUACGUAGGAAAUGUUGGUCCUCUAAUUUGUAUUAAAUUGUGUAAAGGAAAUUAAGCAGAAAUGAGUGAAGACGUGAAGAAGACGUUGUAAGAGAACUAAAGUCUUAAAACAGAGUGAUUUGGAUGGCCGUGUGGACAUCGAUAAUGGCCCCCAUACUGCAUUGCGAAUGCUUAUGUGAAAAGAAUUAAAGAAACACACAGUAGAGGUUGAGUUUGUGGGUGUUAAUGAAAAUGCACGUCGAUAGUGGUAUUUUGUGCUAAAGGUUGAUAUAAUUGCAUCAGCCACACUUAUAAAAACUGUGUAUAUGAAUGUUAGAGUAAUGUUUAUCGUCUGCAUUUUGUGAAAGUUGUGUCAUUUCAGUAUGGUUUGUUAACUAAAAUGAUCGUGUAUAUAUGUUUUGUUCCAUUAGUAGACGAUUAGUACUUAUGUUACAAACGAAAGCAUAUGGGGAAGCUAAAAAAAAAUGUUAAGCGACCAUGGUUAGAAAAAAAAUUGAACAACCACACAGGGGUUGUAACUAUGGGGCAGGAUGAGGCGCUUAAAACUCAUGACAUGGUGCAGGAAACAGAGAACGGAAGAAUGGGGAUGGAUGGUUGCUGCAGGUUAAGGUCAUUUGACCUUAACCAAGAACCUGAGUGUGACCGAGACACAUUCAUUGAAGAAAGCGAUGGUUCAAUAGGAGGACACGAAGAUGAGGAGACAGAUGAAUUGGUGGGCGCAAUAGGCGUGGAUGACGUAAUGAAAUUAACAUUUGACACGGAAGAAGAAGCUGGGGAAUUCUAUAAUUUGUAUGCGAAACUAAGCGGAUUUGGGAUUCGUAAAAGUAAUGCCAAACGAGAUGCAGAUGGCAUUUCAAGAUUUAGAAAAUGGGUAUGUUGCUGUGAAGGUUAUAGGAAUGAAAAGUGGUUUAACUAUGAAGACCGGAAAAGAGAAGCAAAACCAAUCACAAGAACCGAGUGUGGGGCUUGCUUUCGCGUGAAAUAUGACAUAAAAUCGGUAAAGUAUGUGGUGACACGUUUCAUUAUGGAGCACAAUCACCCGCUGGCAUCAGAGGCAAGUGUGCAACACAUUAGGUCGUAUAGAAAAGUGAGCGAUGCAGAAUAUGCGCAGGCAAAAAGUCUAAAGUUGGUUGGGGCCAGAAUAUGCCAGAUAAUGAAACAUUUUGUAAUCAAAGCCGGAGGGUAUAGUAACGUGGGAUUUUGCAUUAAGGAUCUGUAUAACCGAAUGGACGAGGAACGUAGAAAAGAUAUUUUUAAUGGCGAUGCAGAAGGGGCACUUGGGUUCUUGGCAGCGAAGAAGGAUGCCGAUGACAUGUUCUUUUAUAAAUAUCAUGUACAUAACGAAGGAAGAUUGGCAAGGUUGUUUUGGGCAGAUUCUAAAUCUCGUGCGGACUUCAGUGUAUUUGGAGAUGUAUUGGUGUUUGAUACAACAUACAAAAUAAAUAAAUACCGCAAGCCACUAGUUGUACUUGCAAGGGUAAACAACCAUUUGAACAGUACUAUUUUUGGCUGUGCACUGCUAUCAGAUGAGAGGAUUGAAACAUAUGAAUAGGUGCUAAGUACAUUUGUAGAGGCUAUGAAAGGUAGAAAGCCAGUAGCAGUGAUGACAGAUGGGGACAGUGCAAUGCGAAGAGUUAUAAAGAAUCUUCUCCCAGAUGCUUGUCACAGGCUAUGUUCGUGGCACUUGCAUAGAAAUGUACGGAGUAAUAUUCGCUGCGAGGAGUUUAAUAACAGGUUGUAUAACAUGAUGGAGAGAAAGUAUAGCACUCUUGAGUUUGAGGAUCGGUGGGCUAGGUUGGUUAAUGAAUGUGGGGUGAUACAGAAUGAGUGGGUGAAGAAGUUGUACCGUAGGAGAAGGUUAUGGGCAGAGGCCUAUUUACGCGGUCAUUUUUUUACAGGUAUGAGAAGUACUCAAAGGUGUGAGAAAAUGAAUAUUUUUUUGAAUGAGUAUUUGAAUGAAAAAAUGCGACUAUAUAAAUUCGUUAGAAGUUUUGAUUUGGUAAUAGCAUGGCUUCGACAUACUGAGAGCAAAGCAGUUCACACAAGCGAAAACACAAAACCAGUGUUAACCACAAUCCUACCCGAAUUAGAGAGGAGCGCAGCGGAGGUGUUUACAAGGAAUGUGUUCUUCAUGGUGAGGAAGCAUUUGAACAGGCAAUGACUUCUAAUUUCUGAGGGCUGGAGCGAGGAUGGAGGGAGUCGUACAUAUUAUUACUCGAAAUAUGGUGGACACGGAAUAAGUUGGAGGGUGGAUUAUGAUAGGUCAAUGGAGAAGCUAAUCUGCUCUUGCAUGAAAUUCAAGUCAAAGGGGAUUCCUUGUGCUCACAUGUUUCGCGUGAUGGUGGUAGAAGGAAUGAACAGGAUCCCAGAAGCAUGCAUUUCGAAGCGGUGGACAAAGGGAGUUUACUGUACUAAUAAUGGAAUGAAAGCAUUUGUUGUAGACGAACAGCUGACACAAAUGGCCAGAUAUGGCACUUUAAAGUCCAGCUGUAAUACUAUGUGUUACUAUGCCUCCUACAUGGAUGAUGCGUUUAAUGACCUGCAGCAGAUGUUUGACAAGCAUUCUGUGGACCUAAAAGAGAAGAGGAUUGACAGGGGAUAUGGGGGAGACGGAUUUGCAAUGGAUUCAAGAGUGAGGAACGAUAGAAGUAGAAGAACAUUCGGGCUGUUAGAUCCCAGGGUGUCCCGGUCUAAAGGUGAUCACAAGCAUGCAGAAGCAAAGAAGAAAAGAAAGUGUGGUCAUUGCAGGUACUAUCGGAAUUGCAUACGUAGUUAUACAGUAGUUAAUUGAUAAAAUACAUGAAGUAGACAGUGAAGGUAAUAAUGAAGAAGUGGGUAUUUUUCGUUCUUAUUAUCAACAGUAGCAAAUAAACACAUAAUUAAAAGUGCAUCCAAAGUUAUUGGCAAUGCAAGAAAGUUGAAGUGGUGUAAUGUUAUCAUUGUGCUUAGUUGACGUGAUUACUUGUAGUCACAAAUGAUUUGACAUGUGAUAUAUGGGUUGAAGAUUGCAGGCAGGGCACAACCAACAAACAUGCCCAUACAAAAAGAAUUCGCACAACACAGCAGUUCAUGAUGAUUAUAUGAAAAAUUGUUUGGAUGACUCACUGGAAAAAUCAUUUGAAAUUGGUACGGGCUGGAGCGACUCAAGUGAAUGGAGAGGACAAGCAUUUGUACCACAACCAUUCGGUAGCGGUGGAGGGACACAGGUGGCCAACAAAGAAGUCCAUGAGAAAGAUGAGGCACUACUGUUGUGAUGCUUCGGUUUGCAGUUACGUAAUAAAUAAGGCAGGUUUUGGUGAGUAGAGGUGCAAGAGUAGUCUUUCCAUGAAACAAGUACGAAAUUGUAGAAGGGGAACGGUUUGUAUCUUUCCUUCGCAUUAAUUUGUUUUGAGAACGAGAAGGCUACAAGGUAUUCGUGAAUGCGGGGAAUGCUGGAUACAGGUUGUGGUGGUGUUUAAAAAAAUUUGAUUCCGUUACCAUUGAAGUGUAAAUAAUGUAAGUUUGAAUGUGUCAUGGGCCAUUGUAAGCUGUUAUGACUACAGCCACUGAAAGGUAGUAAAUAGUCAUUGUACUGAUGCAGUACCUGUUGGUAAAUGGUUUUGUUGUUCUUAUUUCACUGUUGUUGCGUGUGUAAAUCCUAUUAUAUAUUCUUUUAGGUGUGAAAUGCAGAGGUUGAAAGAGAUGGUAUGGUUGUGCAUGGAAGUAGCAACCGUGACGACAGACAGGUUACAGAGCAACACCGGCUUGAGGGAUUGUCUUUUGUUAUGUAUCGGUGGGAUGAAGAGUAUUCAAGGUUGCUAGGUCUAGAUGGGUAAGUCAUUGUAGUUCCACCGAAGGGGUCAUGCACAGAAGGAUCACCAGAUGCAUGACUGUCAAGGUUGCGUCGUAAGCACUGCUAUAGCAAAUAGUGCUACUGCACUUGGUUAAUAUUUUUUUUGUCAAGCCAGUAAGACUUUUUGACAGUUUAUACUAACCUUAACCCCGAGCUAACCCUCAAAAGCCGGCAACUCUUGUUUAUAGGUUAAUAGGAGAGUAAGUAGUUGACAAAUUGUUUAUUAGACGAACCAAACUUGUUCCUUUUUUGUAAAUAGGAAAUUAAGUGGAAGCGUAUGUUGCGCAAAAUCUCUUCGUGGGAUAGACGUUUUCCGAAGCGGCUACUUGGGAAUCAGCUUCAGUUGCCCAGCUUUUGUAAAUUGGUGCCUUACGCUGCUGCUAUAAACUGCUUUUACGAUAUGGUCUGUUUGUUCCUCUCCUUGCUAUCCUAACCAAUGACCAUAAGGCCCAAUGCUUUUUCUUUUGCCCAUCGUUCCAUUCAGGUGUAGGAACAGUAACUUCUGUUUCUCCCCAUCUAUUUUCAUUGCUCACAAUGCUUAUGCGUCUCUUCAGUGCACCAAUAACAAUGGUAUUAUUAGUUAUAUGUAUUAUAUAUGUAUAUUAAUUUAUGUAAUAUAAUUAAUAUUAUGAAUUAUACUACUAAUUAUACAUAUUUACUAAUAGAAAUUAUUAAUUAGUUCGAGUAACUUUACUAAUACAUUUGUACUAAUAUAUUUAAUUAGCCAAUAACUAUCAAUUACGAUGUGGUUUGUAAUAUAUUUAUUAGGGAUAAUUUAAGAAACCUCCCCUGAGAUUUCUGACACUUUCACUGGCACCCCAUGAGGUUGUCAAAAUUUGACCGACCUCCCUUGCCUUUGAGUUAUUGGGUCCCUUAGCUGACAUCAUGAAGGCCAAAAUUACAAAUAUAUGGUAUGAAGUUGGGAUUUAUUACUGAUGUUGGGGUUUAUUAUUAUCGUUUAGUUGGAGAAAAAGGCAUCUACAGUGAUUAAUGAAGCCUAACAACAAUGUCACAAACUUAGAGAGUAAUACAUGAAGUAAAGCUGGAUUAGGGAGUAAGGCACCAUUUUUGUGCCAUUAUUGUGGCUGCUAUUUCAGUUAGAAAUGUUUUUAAAUUAAAUUAAAAAAAUGGUACAGUAAUUUCUUAUGAAACAAAAAAAUGGUAGGUUAUCUACGUAAUAUAAGUCAAAAAUAGUUUAAAAAGGAAAUAUCCCAUAAAGUACCAACUCUUUAUGACUUUUCUGUUUUACAUGAAUGAAGUACCAUGUUUUGUAUGAACAUUUUAUUAUAAAUCAUUUAAUUUUGUUAAAUACAUAAAAAUUUACAAAUAAAAUUCAAAAGCCGUUACAGAAACAUGUUUACGAAAGGAAAACUAGCAUUUUUUGAAUUAUUUAAUAUAAAUGAAACAUUUUAAAGUAAACAAAAAAAAUUGUUUGCUAUAAUAUACCAGUUCUUUACGGGUUUGUUCUCUUAUAUGAAUUAAGUACUAGCUGUUUAAGAGUAAUUGACUUCGAAAUAGAAGCGCAACUUUGAAAUACGCUAUUUUAAUUUUAGUAAAUUUGUUUAUAUAUGAAAAAUUGGUUAACUAGCGCAGUGAAUUCAAACCCUGCUUAUAUAUCGGAUAAAAAAAGGUUCGUGUUGUUCUGCACUAAAACACCAGCUCUUUAUGCCUUUUCUCCAUAAAUUAUCCGUUUUCCCAUUUUUCCAUAAGCUAAUUCAGGGGAUGUUUCUGAAAUUAGCCCUUACAAUAUAUAUGUGUAUGUAAGAUUAAUAAUUUAUAUAAUAAUAAAUAUGUUUAUUAUUAUGCAUAUAAGGUUGCAAAAUGAUUAAAUUUAAUAUCUUAUAUACGUUAUAACUGUGUAAAAUAUUAGUUAAUUAGUAUUUAUAUAUAUAUUAUGUAAUUAUAGAUAGAUAUUUAUAAUUUCUUUAAGGGGGUUUACUCUCGGAAAAAUGUGCAGUAGGAGCUUAGUCUCGAAAAUUUGCAGAGGAAGUUGUUGAAGUGAAAGAAAAAGGGAAAGGUCUUGUGCACAAAGUAACGAAACAGAGCUGAACACGAUUAAUUUUUUUUACAGCAUUUGUACAUUUCCAAUGGAGUACAAUAUUUCACGUAACUUGUUUGCACAAACUUGAACUCAUAUUUUUGUGUUGGAGUUGCAUUCAUACAAAAGGCUUUUUUGUCAUGAUAUAAAUAAGUUGAAAAAAUGUAAUGCAUUAAAUGUGAUAGUAACAACAACUUGCAUUUAAAUUGUUUUGUUGUAAAUAUUUAAUUUCACUGCAAACUUCAGCUGCAGGUGAAGAACAAUUUGGGACAGACGAAAAAUAAGAACAGGACUAUAAAUUAGUUGUGGGAAUUAUCUGUCAACUGUUAACAUUUUCCGUGUUCAAGUUUAAAAUUGUAUCAGAAUUACACAACACACGUGGCGAUUGCUCACAGCUUGGCUUUGUUGGUGGGGACUCCCAAGUAGUUUGCAUACUCAUUCCUUCGGCUACACAACCUUGUUUGCGGUUAGGGGCCAUGGGUGCUCAGUCUUUGGCAUUAUGAAUUCCCUGACAUUCGUGAGCUUUGCCUCUACCAAGCUCAUCCGUAAAUGUCUGUGUCCCGGCACUUGUGUUCGGACGCUUACAAACACAGGAUUCCCGUCCACCAAGUCCACCAUGAAGGCAGCAUUUUUCUGUCCCCUUUUGGAGAUUCAAUGCACUUUCCAAAAUUACCUGUAUUUGAUGUAGUCUUUGGUCUAUCACUUGUGAGUUGUCCGACACAUUGGAUGCCAAACGAAAUAUUUCUGCACUUUUUUCUAAGACUUUCUUUCUCAGGCCCAUGCACUGAACAAGCAGGUCCUCGUACCAAUGUCUAGGCACCUAAGCGGAAACAACAUAGAUGGCUGUAUUAAUUUUACACAAAUUGCGCAAAUUAAAUGGCGGGUGAAGUACAGGGCGAAGAAUGCCAUACCACAUCACCAAUAGCACAUAGAAGAGGCAACCCUAUUACAUCGCCACCAACUCUGUGAAUGUCCUCUUGCUCCAGUGAUCCAUCAGUUUGUAUACACAACACAGACCAGGGAGGGUAAUUAAUUGGAUGUUUCAGUGACGGUGUUGUAGCCUCACUUAGUGGCAACUGGUCACAUAUAUGAAUUAUGCACUCCUUCCCACUGGGUGCCAACGUGGAGGAAGUCAUUGGUUUCAUUAGCCUGCUGCGCACAAACUCGUCAUACGUAGCAUAUGGAGGGGGAUCUGGGUAUAGGCUUGCAAUGGGCAGUCCAUGAAGCACAUCAUGUAGCAUGUUUUCCGAAAUUGUAUCAGUGCUGUACAUAUCUGAUGGCCGAUGGAGAGGUUGCUUUGCACAUACACCUGCAUACACCUGCCUAAUAACCCUCUCGCCCAGGUAGUAAAAUCUUUCCAUGGGGUCAUCCAAAAACAAUCUCGUUGCAGUUAGUUCCUUGGAUUUGAGAUACCGACUCGGCAAUGCCAUUGCAGGGAAGGGCAGCCAGUUGACCUAUGACACAUAAUUAACAAGCGAUGUAACAUUGGUUUGUUCAAUAGGUGGAACAAAUUCAUAACAACUGUUAACACUUAGGCGGUAGAAACUAUUGGAUGUUCUAUGUACGGGAACUAACGUUUUCCGGGUUAAUGGUGUCAAUUGCGCGGCGAAAAUGUUCGACCGUAGACGGUGAUUGUCGGUUGGCUCUAUUACACGAGCGCCAUCGCCACAUUCUGGGCAAUACGUCCCUCUCAUCUUGUUUCAGUUUAUACGGACUUAACUGAAGAAUUUCAUAAGCCCACACCUACACGUGGUCGUACAAAUUAUGUCCACCGUUCGAGAUGAACACUAACUGCCAGAAAAGUUUAUGUAACGGAACAUGGAAAUGUCGAAUUGACACAGAGUGAAGGCAAUUUUGGACUUACCUCCCAAACGAAGCUGUAGCCGCCAAGGCUUUUCAUCAGGCGUCGGGAGACGGCGGACAUAAAUCUGUACAAGGUUGCCAUCCCUGCCCCUCCCCAGUUAUAAUCCCCUAUACGAUCUACGUCCUCCAGCGCAGGCAGACAGCACAGGUGAAUUGUUUCUACCGUGUUGCUAAGUAAAGUGCGGCCAAGCAUGUAUAGAAAGAAAGCUCUAGUCAGAUGUGCCAGCUGGACGUCAUCGUUCUCGUCAAUCGUCUUGUCUUUGUAGAAUGACAAUAUAUCGGUAACUCUGAUGGCACCGACAGAAGCAAAAGCUGGCACCCAACCCAAUUGCUCCUUGAUGUAAUUGACAUUUUCUCUAACAUUGUAAUCCCACGGAAUGGGCAAGCCGCCCACUGCAACACCGGUUAUACAGGUGAAGUCCAAGGGUGUCAGUGUCAUCUCUUCGAAAGGCAAGUGGAAGGAGUUUGUUGAGUCCCAUCAUCGCUCCGCAAGUGCGACAGGCAACUUCCUAUCUCUAUCGGCCACGGGCAAGUGGCUCAGAAAAUCCCCAAACCCAGCACUAACAACUUUCGCGGCCACCUUACGAGGCAGCCUCUUCCACCACUCCAUAAUUUCGACUGACGACGCUCUAGGAUAAAUUGAAUAGACUUCCUGUGCAUUAAUGUAGAACCAAUUCAACCAUUUUUAUAUAUGUAUAAACCAAAUGAGGACUUAGGGAAAAAUAAGCACAAGUAAUUGUCGACAUUGAUUCUGCAACAUUUACCCCCUGUGCAAGGAAAAUGUGUGAUAUGUGGCUUUUCCGAUCAACCAGCAGUUCUUGUGAGUGUUCUUCAUCACGCGGUAGCCGGUAGUGAUAGAUCCUGCCCAUCGCACGGCUGUUGGAGUUGGAUUUUGGACGAAUAUUGUGACGGCGCAGCCUAUCACAAAAUCCUUGUCGCCCCACCCGCGAUUAUGAACAGCUUUGCUGUUAAGUGUUGCGGCCUUGUAGGUGCGUAGGCGUCUUUCUUCGCGAGAAAUUUGAAUAGUUAGACAUUUUGGACGACUGUGGCCAGGUUGGGCGCGCAAUGCCCUUGUACCUUCUAAGUAGGGUUGCAAAUUAGGAAAUAUGUGUUACAGUGAUGGUCGGCGCGUGUGCUAAGCAUGUUUUCAUUGGCCUUUACAUACAUACCCUUUUCAGUUUUACUUGGACGACUAAGGAAACAGGUGGCCAACCUGCGCGUCGUAAGCAAUUAAAUGUCUCCGAACGUUUCAUUAUAGCAAGGGGAAAUUAGGGAUUAGAAAAGAUGAAAAAAUUUGAAUUUAAAAACACAAACCGCAAUUUUGGGACAUUAACAGCUAAAAUUGAAAAGCAACUGUAAUGGAUGGUCCGGACGAUAAACGAAUACGGGUUGCCACAACUCCAAUGACACUACUAUGUUGACACGGGUUAAUAUUUCAAAUUAAAAUAACAUUCCACAUAAUUUCAUACUAGAGGUACUCGGCUGUGCAACGCACAGCCAGGGCCCUCUACAACAUUAGUUAAAUACAUAGCAACAAAUAUUUUAGUACAUAAUGAAUAGACAUAUAGGAAAAAUAUUAAGUAUAAAAACAAUUAAAAUUUGCUGUGAAAAGAAAUUUCAUAUAUAAAGUUAACCCCAAUUUAUUGUGAUUUGGAAAAAGAAUUUUUAACCAAUAUUAUGUGUACGUAAUGAUACCAAAAAAGAAAAGAAAGCAAAUCCAUUAUGAGUGCAUUAUCGGUUUAAUAGUAGCAUAGUUUUAGUUGUAAUUAAAUAAAUAGUAGUGAUAAUGUUACUAAAAUUUUAAUAAUUAGAAAAAAUAUAGAAAGCCACAAAAAACAUAUCACUAUCUUCAACAUCAAUAAAAAAAAAAUACAAACUUGCAUAUUUUUCUUUCUUUUUUGAGAGAAAUAGCGAGUUAAUCUAUCCAUUUAAAUCAUGUCUAAUAGCAUUACAAAUUGAUGAAAACAUUAUCUAACCAAAUAGUUAUAGAAUAUGUAUAGCAAGUUUAAAUAAAAACAUGAAUUGGCAUAUUUGUAAAUCUACAUAUGCAAAUUGAAAUCCAACAAUUUGUUUGAUUGCAAAUAUGUCUUGUUAAUCAAAAUAGAAUUUUCUAAUAAUAUUUUGUAGAGUGACACUCUAAGUUAAAAGCCUCAAUACUAACUUCUACCACCAAAUGCAUUCCUUUGAAAACUGCAAUUGUUUUAGCUAGUCAAAUGAACAAAAUAUUAUUAACUUCUUUAGCCAAAUAGUAAUGACAUGUCCAUUUCUAUGCCUAACAAUCAGCUCAAACUGUAAUUACAUUAUCUAUCAUUAUGGGCAAUAGAAAAGGAUAAGAGUAAGUCAUAUAGAACCAGUUUAAGUAAAAGAUUCUGAAAUCUAAUUUUGCACUUUUUUUAUUUCCAAGCUAUCAUUUGUUAAAAUUAAAACCAUGAAAAUUAACUACCUAUCAUGGAUACAAGCUAGUCAUUCAAAAUGUUGAAUGAAGAGAUAUAAAAUAUUAUCUUCAAAUUCUAAAUUGCUAGCCCUAACAAUUAUUUUACACGUCAUCCACCUUAUCCAUUUUCUAAGCAUUUUUCACAAUUAAUAAACUUUAUAUAAAUUAAAAUAUAAUUACCUAUCCAUAAAUUAAGAGAUUCUGAUUAAUUUUUAAUUUAAUAAGCAUCAUUUUUUUCUUCCUGAUCAUCGUUUACCUUCGAUUUUCAUUUAUUAGAUUUUUUUGUCCUCUAUUGUAGUAUUAUCACCCUAUUAUCAAAUAACAAUUUAAAAAAAAAAUAAAAAAGGGUUGGUAAUCUACAUAAUGGUGCUAUUUAUUUUAUGAGCGAAAAGUAGUUACAAUUCUUUCAUUGUUAGCCUAAAAAUUGUUCAUGUAAUCACCACUCGUCUUGUUGCCGACCUUAGUUUAUUAUUUUUCCAAAAAUAAAAAUAUCAAAAAGUAGUUUCAGAAUAAAUAAAAAAUAAAACACUAAAAAAUUGUUUCUUUAGAUUUGGGGAAAAAUAUUCACAGCAUCACAUACCUCUUUUGGGCAAAAAAGAAAGUCAGAUGAAGAAGAAAUAGGUGAGAAAAGCAAUAAGUAAAGGUUGCUGAUCAAGACGCAAAAAAUGACAAAAAAAAUAUCAAAUAGUAUAUACCAAAAAGAGACAUUAAAAGCAGAAGAUUAUGAAUCUUUCUCUUAAAGUAUAAUGUUACUUUUUUUAAUGUGGAGUGUAUAAUCUCUCUGUACUGAUCUAGAAUGUUCUCUAAUGGUACCUUUUUUAUAUUCUUUCCAUACCAAACUAAAGUUUUAUCACACUAUUGUACGCACUACUUUGGAUUUUAAUACUGCCAUGUUUGUUGAUCUUUUAAAUGCAUGACAUUAUUUCCCUUUUAUUUGCUAGUUAAACUUGCUCUUUUACUUAAGAUUAUUAAGUUAACUUCAUAAAAUAUUAACAGCUAAGUUUUUUCUGUUGCUAAUAAGUUUGACAAUGCUUUCCUAUUAUUUAUCCUUCCACUUGUCAACUUCAUACCAACUUCGCAUAUUUAGAGAGAGUUGUACCAUGAUAUAAGAUAUGAAAGUACUAGGAGGCGUCUGAUAGAUAGGGAACAGAUAAACGAAGAAGGAAAUAAAGAUGCAUUUUCACAUUUUUGAAAACUCAUCCGAACAUAUCAGUAAACAACACCAUUUUUUUUAAAUUUGUGUUCAGAUUUAUCGGAAUUGCUACCAUAAAUAUUCGCAGUCAACAAUUUUAUGGCCACGACAUACCACUUACUAGGGGUGGCAAUAGGGUCGGGUCUGGGUUGGCGGGUCGGGUUGAGACCUAGAUAUAACAAAGAACCUGCUGACCCGAACCCGAAACGGGUCAGGGUACCUGACACGAACCCGAAAAUUUCGAGUUGGCGGGUCGACCCGAAAUGACCCGAAACUUAAUUUUAAUUUAUUAAUUUAUCACUGUAAUUUCUAAUAAAAUCAAUUUUUCACAAAAUUAUUAACAUCAUCAAGUAAUAAAAAUUUAAAUAAAUAAUUUCAAACCAAAUCUAAAAUAAAUUAAACACCAUAAAAGUGUUUUAUCUCAAACCAAAUAUAAAAUAAAUUAAAACAGCAUAAAAGUAAAUUCAUUUAGGAUUAAAUAAUUAAUGCCUUUGGAAAAAAAGAAUGAUUUAGUUUAGUUAGAUAAAAUAAUUUUUAUGUUUAUUAAAUUAGUUGUAAUUCGUAAACAGGUCAUAUCGGGUCACCACGGGUUGACCCGAAAUUGACCUGUUUUCUUUUCGGGUUCAUCGGGUUCGACCCGAUUCUGACCCGAAUUCCCGAAAUCUCAACCCAAACCCAUUAAUUUCGUAUUAGAUUCGUGUCGUGUUUUCGGAUCGUGUCAGGAAUUGCCACCCCUACCACUUACACUUGUUUGUCAAGAAAUGCAAUGAUCAAAUUAGUUAAAAAUUUUUAUAAUAGUGCAAGUACUGGUACAUGGGUAUUUCUUAAUAUAAUUUGUCGGAUAUCGCUACAUUUUUUAAAAACUAUUUCUAAUCUUCCCAACCAACCUAACCCUCUCAUUCACUGUAUUUAACAAUCCUUCUGUUAUGUAAAUCAUUAUACAUUACAUUUUUUUUAGCAUGUCAUGCAUCACUUAUUUCAAAUUUUCUGUAUAUAUAUACAUAUAUACACAUGUAUAUAUAUUUUAUUUAUUAUUCUGUACCACAAUAUAAAAAGAUGUAAAAAUAUUAUUUUCAUUUUCAAUACAAUCACGGGCCUAGGACGUGUCAAAAUACUACUGUGUCGAACUACGCAUAAGUUUGGGGACAAAUUAUGGAAUAAUUGUUGGAUAAUUAAGGAGCAUAAUGAAACUUUUUUUUGGAUGAUUCAGCAGCCGAAUUUGUAAAUUUCAAUUUACGCAAUCAACUCGUUGGGGACCAUGGCAAAAUAAAAUGAACAACAUCGCUUAUUCUACCCUUGCAAACAAAUAAAAUGAACAAUCCAUUUACUGAACCCAACUCUUUAAUUCUUUCGCUAAUCUUCACAAGCCGCGAAUUGUGAAUUACUAACACUUAAGUUUAUCAAAUGUAAAGAAAACUGUGAAUUUGCUGAUGUGUUGCACAGUGCAUAUGGCCGGUAAAUAUUGGACUAAAUUUCAAGGCGGGAACAUGGUUUCGUUCUUUCGCCAUACGCGAUUGGGACCGCCAGUGUUGCGCCCCAAAGCAUAUGUGAAGGGCCAUGCUCAGUAGUCAUUGAAAAACGAUAGUAGUGAAAUCUCACAUUGGAAUUCACAGUUAAAAGUGGGCCAUCAUUGACGUAUGACCGUUCUUUAUCUGCCAACCGUACAACUUUGUGAAGGCUUCUCCUAUAAGCAAGACUGGCGCCAGUCUUGUCAUCUUGGGGAAUUACACCCCAACCGAGCCAAAUUUGCUCUCUAACAUGUGCUCCCUGUAAGCCAUGUGACUCGUAUGAUCACCAGAGCCAAAUUUUCUACCGCCUUAAAAAAUAUAACUGGUGUGCCUUACACCAGUUGUUGAACCUAGUUGGGUCUUAUUAACCCACUAACUCGUACAACCGCUCCCGUAGGCUCCCAUCCAACAUAGAGAGCAAAAGAUACAGUAAGUGAUACAAAUGUAUUCUUACUAAUGAUAAAAAAAUCUCUCUUGCAUGCCCCAUUCGACCUAGAUUAGGAAACGUAUUUGUUGACUUGAAUGGAGGAAAGCCAAGUAUGGCCGGUGUUUUAUGCGAGAACUGCCUGGCAUUUUAUGUCAUCCCAACUUCAUAACGCGAUUUGGGAAAACGGGUAGUCAAAGGUCAUGAAGGAGGAAAUACUUAAAGAGCUGGUGUUUUAACCUUUUCAAAUUAUUUUGGAGAGACGAUACUCCGAAUUCAAGCAAAUUCGCUUUGAUCCCUAAAAAUGGGUACUCCGAUUACAAUGGAGCAAACCCAAGAAAAGCGUAAGUUGAAGUGGACAAGGGUUACUUUAUAAUUCAAAUACAUAAUUUGGUUAGUGGUACUCUGCUAAAAUGUGCACUGUGGUAUUACUUGUGCAACAUGAAAGCCACAAAGUCCAUUUUGUUUAACCGUCUUUAAUUCGUUUAUUGUAAUAAGCGAGCUACAAACUUGUUCCAAGCAAAUAGGGGUAGGAAAGGUUGUUCUUGUCUACCAAAAUGGAUUUAUUAUUGUUUCAGCCAAAGGAGGAACUGAAGCCGUUAAUGGGAAAAUGAGUACCGUCAUCUUAGAACGGAGGAUAGGCAGAAAAUAUCUGGUGUUUUAUUCAAAAAAUGUUUUUAUUUGUAUUUUAUCCCUUAAAUUAAGUUGUGUAUGGAACAAUGGGUACUCUUUUGUUGUAAUGGAGGAAUGCCGUAAACAGCUGCUAUUUUCUUCGAAAACGGUUGCAUUGUUAUUCGACCAAAUGUUUUUGUAGAAGGGAAAAUGAGUACCCUGUUGUUGUAAUGGCGGAAACACAUAAAAGGCUGGUAUUUUUUUGAAAAAAUCAUUGUUAUUAUUGUAUUCGUAAAAACAUGUCUGUCUACGUCAAAUGGGUACUCUGUUCUCAUAUUCCUAGUGAACCCGUCCACAGCUGGUCUUCUAUAGCGGAGUAGUGCAAUUCAGAAAUAUGCAUGCGAUUUGGUUCUUCUAUUUUUCCCAAAUAAAAAUUUAGAUGCAGUGCCAACUGUGACUUAUUAUCGCACUAACCUAACUUAGGUUCGUUAACCGUAGUCCGGAAAAGGAAUCAUUAUAGAGGCCAAACUGUUCUUAACCACUCAGUCGAUGCACUGCAAGCUCCUCCAUUUAAACUCAGCUCCGUCAUCCAUAUCUCCUCCUAUAAAAGUUUCACACAACUAAACUUCUUCCUUGCAUGCCCAUUCACCCCCGCAUUGGUUUCGCACAACAGCCUUCGCUAUUGCAUGCCGCUUCAGCUUCAUACAACCACGUUCUAUAAGUUUCGCAUCUUUCUUUACCACCUGUAACAUGUAACUAGACGAAAGAUUCGCUUCGUUCUGUAUGUUCUAACCCCUGAACCGACCAGUCUCCUCGUAACAUAAUCCUUUUCCAGACUGACUCAUGGAACUUGGCCGACUUCCUGAAAUACAUGUCCUCAACAACGGAGGCAUGGUCGGCUACUUUCAAAAUGAGGUCUUACCACUUCACCACAUUGGAGUGAAGUGGAUAGUUGAGGAAGCGUUGGUUCGGUUAGAUAGGUUUCCCAGAGCGGAGUUUCCGCAGUCGAUGUUGGUGUCUUGCAUCCCCGUUCGCAACCCCAUUGCGAACGAGGAAGUAUUCCGGUCGCUGGUCAAGUGGCGCCGUCGUCCACUCCCCCUUAUGCAGAACCUGAAGGCGUUUUACAUCAUGACCUACAAUGCCUGGUUUGUGGGCAAGGAGGAAUUUGUUGCAUAUUUUCUCGGUCUAAAACCACUGCUCCAUACCGACGUGUGGAUCCUCUUUGGUGCCAAUUUUGAAGAUUGGUCUGUAACACGGUUUCUGGCUGAACAGCGGUAUCCCGCCAGUAUGACACGCAACGUUGCCAUUGCGGACAACCUUCACACCGCAACCAUUUGCUGGAAUCCAUCAGCUGUAGAGAUCACGUUUGAAGACAAAGAUGCUAUUGAUAGCCUUCUCCUCACUGUGCGGCGCAAAAAAUACCGCAACUUUCUCAGGGUAGCUACCAUGGUUGCCUCCUAAAACCCUAUGUUUGGUCUUAUUGUGGAGCGUUUCGAGUGAACGUUCGCAGGUACAGCAGUGUGCUUUUAAAUUUUUUUUUUCAACAUCAUAUUUGAAUGGUGGGCGGUUUUUUGUUCAUGGCCCUUGCUGUUUUUGGGCGUACCAUGCAUGGUUUUGAUUGUAAGCGUAUGAAGGGUAGGGGUUAGGGGAUGACAAUAUGCAAGGCCUGAAAAUUAGGAGUGCACCGUUUGUCGGAUAUGUAAGCGGAGGUACUUAAAUCCAAAUAUAUAAGUAAGAACUUGUUUCGUCGUUCAACUCCACAAAUUUCACUGUGAUAAACCUAACAAUGCUGUGCCACAUCCCAAUUGGUUGUACGUAAGUUUCAGGUUGUUCAGUUGGCUGGCUAAGCUGAAGUUCAUAUUUAACAACGCAACAGUUGUCAUUGCAGUGACUAAUGACGUUCAUCGAUCAAUCAACGAUCCCUAGUACCUCAUCCGCACACAUAUUUCGGGGGACAAAGGGAACAGGCAUUUCUAAAAAUCACAUAAUGCACAAUGUAAACAAAAAUCAAAUACGGAAACCUAGUAUGUCAUAUAACGCAAAAUCAUCAUUUACACAGUAACACUCCGCCGGUUGGGCCAACUCAGUCGCACAUGCGGCAAUCACCGGUUGACAACGGAUGGACAAAAGGCAAUGCCACAGCAGUAGCAACCAAAAAUACAAGAGCCUUUAAACGAGCCUAAAUGCCCAUUCUAUCCUUAUGGACACCAUAGUCCAGUACUGUACAGGGGGGGUUUGGAGGGAAUGCAAUCAACGCCAACACAUUAAUUCACGGUUUCAGAACCAGAACAAGGACUACCGCCACCACAGCUACCACAUCAAUGUUAAGGAUCGUCAUGUUCCUUUGCAUGCUUCUCAGUUCAUCUAUGAUGGCAGACACCUCGGCCGCGGGUGUAUUGGUGACGGGGGCGGUACUUGACGGGGCGGGAUCGGGAACUUCAAACCCCGUUGCUCGUGCAAACUCAUUACACCAACCAAUGAACAUUCGACAGGGCCUCUGCAAUACAACUAUCUUAGCAAUUCGAAAUAUUUGUUCGGAACAGUUAUACCGAAGAACUUACCAGGGCAUUAGCGCAGCAAUAGUAGUGGCGCCCCCUGUUUGCUUCAGACAUCCAGACAACACGAACCGCACAGCUUCGACCACAAUUGCAAUAUAAUGUAGGCCAGACCAUGCUAUUAGCCGACCCGGCUGAAGACGAAGAAGCCAUUCGCAAAGGUUAAUCUCCUCCGGUACACCUGAUAACUUUAUCCCUGCCAAACACAAGGACACGACGCUCCCACGGUGUCCACGGACAACGCCUUUAACAAGAAUUUGGGGGUUGGAGGGAAUAGGUUUUCCCCAACAGUAGUCAACACAUUUGUUUGCUUAUUUAGUUGAUGUUUCGGAACGAAUACAAUAAAUAUGAAUAAUCUCACAAACCUCUCCUGAGAUUUCUGACACUUUCACUGGCAUCCCCUGAGCUUCUUAAAAUUUCACUAACCUCCCUUACUUUUGAGUUUUUUUGUAACAAUGCAGUCCAAAUCUGAUUACAAUAUUAUUUUCAUCUGUGAGAAGGUAUUUUUAUUCCAUGGAUGCCCCUUUGGUCCUUGUAUUGGUAGAAGAUUGAAAGAAGAAUAAAUUAUUAGAAUGAUUACUAGAGUUGAGGGGUUAUAAGUACAAUACAAAAAAUUGUAAGCACCAGAUGUGGCAGGAAAAAUGCCGAUUUUCAUAAAUUUUAAGUCAACUAGUAGGUUAUCUAUUUAACAUAAAAUAAGUAACUAAUUAAACUAAUUAAAUGGAAGAAACUCGUAAUAGAGGAAACCUAUACAAAACGGAUAUAUUACUGGGCAAUCACAUUUUUUUUUUAACUUUGACGUAUUUAAUUUAUGUUAAAUACAAAACCUAUUAGUUUUUCUUUCGUAAAAAUAUUAGUAUAUCACCUUUUAAAUUUUACUUACGUUAACUAAUUGACAAAUGUAUCUGGUGGUUGGUUAUUACAUUUAACUAGAAUAACAGAAGUUUAAUACCUAAUGAAGGUGAUUAAAAAAUUGUUACUCCUAGGCGGCAAUAGAAGAAGUAAUCUGGCGCCAAUUUCUGAAAGUUAAAUUUAUGUAAAAAUACAUAAAUUUAGUAUGUUAAAGUUAAAAAAAGAAAAAGAAAUAGCGCAUAACAUACUAGCUCUUUGUGGGAAAUUGACAGUUCUUGCGAGUGUGUAUUGUACCGGCUUUUUAUGGGAAACAUACCGGCUCUGUAUAGGAAAAAUUUGGUUAAAUAGCGUCCCAAGAAAAACUAGUAUGUUUUGUACCAACUUUUUAUGGGCAACAUACUAGCUCUUUACAUCAGCAAAUACCGGCCAAGACAGACCUAGUAUGGUUUUUAUUUAACAUAAAUUAAAAAUAUGACGGUUUAGAAAAAAUUGAACAAACAACGCAUACUAUACCAGCUCUUAAUGGAAAACUGGCAUGUUUUGUAGUACGUUUUGUAUCGAAUUUUUUACUGGAAACAUACCAGCUCUUUAUAGGGAAAAAGGGUUUAAUAGCAGCCAAAAGGAAACCUAGUAUGUUUUCUGUGUAACAUAAAUCAAAUAUGUGAAAGUUACAUUAAAUAAAAAAGGUUAUGAAACAACUAAAAGUGUGGAUGUCCCUUUGUAUUCCCAAGAGGAUUAAUUCAUGAAAUAUUGCUAUAUUAUGUAUAGAAGUUACAAUCCAUUACAGGUACAAUCGUCUACUCAUUUUCUCUCAUAUUUCAAUUGAAUUAUAGUAUUUCAUUUAAUUAGUUUAUAACAAAAAAUAAUACAUAAGCAUAUUAUAAUAGAGAAAACCCUUACAGAGGAUAAACAACAGCUCUUUAUGCUAUUUACCUCACUUGGCGAAUAAACACCAGCUCUUUAUGCCUCUUCUCAAUUAAUGGGUUCCAGUUCGGAUAUCCGUGAUAGCAUACGAGGAGUCAGUUUGGCGGGAGUAUAUGCAUCGGACGUGACCUUUUGGUUGCCAUUUACCCCGCCGGACCUGUCUACCAAAUCUAUGCUAGCGACUUCUACAAGCUGGUUGACGACCCAUUACAGGUACGAACUAAGCCUCCCUGUUUAUCACUGUGGAAGCUCCUUUGCUCUGCGAUGAACGUCGGUCAAUUUACGAUGUACGUGUACUUCAUGACUGUUCAUGUUCCCUUGCUAUCGGUGUAUUGUUACGGUUCGGAUGAAUUAACCGUAUUGACAGAUACGUUAGUCGGUUUGUAAAAUUGUUUCGGAUGAUUGUUUUUUGAUGACAGAAUGUUGCGUCGUUUGCAGGAGAAGUCGCCACUUUCCCAUUUCUGUUUGUUUAUCGCUACGGUUAGUCGGUCUCCUAGAAAUUGGGGAUAUUACACCUAAUCAAUCAUUAUUGGAUUUUAUUAGGAAGUAGGUGUUGUUUGAAGUUUACUCCAUUCUUGGGGCUUUGACGGAUUCACUCAAUUGUUGGCAGUAAAAGAAGUUAACCGGACAUGGCCAACGAACAAAAACGGAAUUCAACAACCUCCAUCCUCUCCCUUUCGACCGAGGUGCUAUCCGAGGUGCUUGCACGUGUCGCAUCUUCUUCAUCCACUGAUCUUUUUCGAGCAAAACUAUAGUUCGUUAUGCUAUUGAUGAUACAAACAGGAAGAGGCGUAUUCUUGUUUGACAUGUGCUUUUCGUUUGAGUUUAAUGGAUCAUUUCUCUUAUUUUGCAGCUGUAAGUUGUUUUAUGAAGUUUCGGACGCAGACAACAUUUACCACCGGGUGUCACUCGACAAGUUUGAAAUCGUUUCAUGGCAAAAAAAUGACAAAGUGUCGAGAUUCUUGAAGAAGUGUAGCGAAAGCAAAAAUCCAGAAGCCUUGUGUCGAAAAGGAGUGGUAAGCAUCGGGCCGAUGUCCCGUUUGCUUGAAAAUUUCUAGACUAAAUUCACAUCAUCUCUUUCAUUUGAACUUCAUUGUGAUUUUGGUCUGCACACUUUACCCCUAAAAGAUAUAUACAACAAGUCCCCUGCAGCUUUGGUCAUGACUAAAUAAUUCUUGUCCCGCUGCCACUGGUCCGCCUGGACUUUUUGACUUUUUUGUUACUAUUUCAAUCACUUUUACGCAAGAGUGUAAUAUCAACCUUGCACUGCUUAGGUUGAUUAUUUUUCGAACAAGCAUGAGGACUCAGCAUUGGAAUGCCUGGAAGAAGCUGCCAAUUCAGGUCAUGCCGAUGCUGCAUAUGCGUUGGGAAUAAUUUACAUAUUUGUUGGUGGAGACGAGUUAAAGCACAAAGGUAUGCGACUGCUGAGCGGGUUGAAGAAAUCCAGAAUUCUGCAAGGGGGAGUGAAACUUUGUCGUGACAAUUUGCGAGCGCUGCUGAGGAUGAUAUGGGUCAAGAAUCCUGUGUUUCUAAACCCAACGCCCAUUUGUUGUGCCAUGACACACGAGAGGAAAACAUCUUCAUGGCCUAUGGAUGCCGAUGACGUGGAGGAGAGUACAUGUGAAGGCUGCGCUUGCGAUGAAGAAAUUGGAGCAAUUUGUGCUGCCCUACCUUAUCGUUAGUGUAUAAGAUUGAAUGUUCAGAAUUCCUUUUACUGCACAAAUUUGUCACCAUCGUGUACAAAUUAAUUAUGUUUUUUCACUGAAUUGACCGCUACUUCUUACUCUCUUAAUAUUACUGGUAUGAAAAGCUAAAUAGCUUAUCUUGGCCCUUUUAUGUUCUGUAAAGUAUCACUUUCUCGUAAAAGCUCAACUCUUUAUGGCUUUCCUCCAUUAUAAAAACAAAGUACCCGUUUUUUCAUAAAUUAUUUUUUUAUCGGGUAAAAGUACAAUAAAAUCGAUUUACGUUAAUUGACCAGCUCUUUAUGGCUUUCCUCCAUUAUAAGAACAGAGUACCCAUUUUUCCAUAAUAAAAUUUUUGUAUCAGGUAAAAUAAAAAUAAAAUCGAUUUACGUUAAUUGACCAACUCUUUAUGGGUUUCCUCCAUUAUAAGAAUAGAGUACCUAUUUUUCCAUAAAUAAUUUUUUUUAUGGGGUAAAAUAAAAAUAAAAUCGAUUUACGUUAAUGUUUCUGAACUCUUUAUGGCUUUCCUCCAGGCAACAACAGAGUACCCUUUUUUUCAUAACUAAAUUUAUUUAUUGGAUAAAUUAAAAAUAAACUCGAUUUACAAUAAAAGACCAGCUGUUUAUGACUUUUCUUUACAAUAAAAUCAAAUUACGUAAACAAAUUUAUUUAUGAGAUUAAAUGAAAAUAAACAAGUUCUUGAAUAAAACGCCAGCUCUUUUUGGCUAUCGUCCAUAAAUUAUCCAUUUUCUGAUUUUUUUCAUAAGCUAAUUUAGGGGAGGUUUCUGAAAGUAUCCCUUAUAAUGUAUGUGUAUAUAAUAUUAAUAAAUUAUAUAAAUACAUAAUUACAUUUGUUAUUAUGAAUAGAUUGUAAUAUAACCCCUUGUAAUUUGGCUUCCGCAUAACCCGCUUCGGAAUACACGCUGGAAUACCGAAUCGGGUUGAUUUUCAUUUGACGAAAUCGGAUUUGCCUCCCCUCCACGCCCGUCCCCGCCUGAUCAAUUAUCCUACAAAAAAUUUGUCUUUGUUGAACUUCUCAUCGUUUCUCCUGUUAAACCCAUCAAAAGCUCCGUUGUUGUGUAAACGCGCUGAAAAGCUUCGGUUUAAACUUUUCCCCCUUCUGAAAUUUGGAGCAGUUCGAAGAGUUUUAGGCGGCAAGGUCCAAAUAAAUCGAAUUUAUCGCGUUCGCUUCCUCAGUUGCUCAACGUACUCAACAAUUGAAUCGCAUCCCGAAGCAAGCAUAGGCAGUAAAAUGGAGGCCUGUAUGAGUCUUCCAGUGUAUGCAGGCAUGUGGGUCGACGUAGAAGCUCUCGCUGGUGAGUGUAUCGAUAUCACGGAAUAUCUUAAUGCCCAAAAUUUGUUAAAUUUGCUGGGAAAUAAUAACAAGUGCUAUGAUGCAAUGGUUAGGGAAUUCUAUGCUAACUGUAGGGCAAAUAAGCAGAAGUCUGUUCUACGUUCAGUGGUUAGGAAUGUACACAUGAAAUUGUCUGCUGAGGUUUUGUGUUCAGAGUUUGGGUUGGUUGACAGUGGAUACACUGUUGACUAUAAACGGAUUAGCGCAAAGAAUGUAGAUAAGGUUACUGUGAAGGGGUACAAUGACCUAGAAUUUCUUGGAGAGAUUAGGCUAAAUGGUGACAGAGUUAUGAACAUGGGCAAAAAGAAUAAGUUUUAGGCGCCGUAUAUGAAAGUGUUGCCACGGCUGUUACAUCUGAUAAUAACGCAUAACAUUGUACCUAAAGUCGGAAGUAUCACUUCCGUUAGUGCAUUAGAAAGAGUUAUAUUGUGGCAUAUAUUACACAAAUAACCCGUCAACAUAGGCAAUUUGAUCAUUGCAACAAUGCUCAACAGGAUUAGGAAGAUUAAGAGCAGGGGGAAUAAGAGAACACAUCUCCCUUUUGGUAUGUUGCUGACUAGGCUCUUUAGGCGCUUUAAUGUGCCAUUCUUGGCUGACCAUGUUGACAAAGGUUUUUACGCCUAAAAAAUGGGAGUAUCAUACUUCAAAAAGCUGGCAUUCAAAGCUGAAGAUGGUGGUUGGAUGUGGAAGAAAUCCCACACCUCUGAUGCUGUCAUUGGUCAGACUGGGGACGCAAAUAGAAAAAUUGAAGAAAUAAAAGAGAUGAAUAAGGGGGGGAAGUGUGCUGGGGUCGUGGUGCGGCCGGUUGUGGGGGAAAAGGCACACCUUAAAGAUGUUGUCAUACUAUCUGAACAAACUAGAAAAGGGGCAACUGUAUGUGACAUUGUUAUUUUACUCCUUUUUGUUUCUUCUUCUCGAUAGCAACACAGGAGCAUAACCCAAUAUUUGUAUGACUAGGUUGUGGAUAAAGUGACACAAAUUUUACAAAGGGUUGGUGCCAUCGAAGUGAAGGACUGCGGACUUGAGACAUUGCCAUUUCUACGACAUGUAAGACAUGCUCUUGCGCUUUCCUGUAAUCCCUUUUAUAUAUGCUAAUACCUUUAUUGUCCAGUGUCUACCACAAGCUUCCGGCGUACCACCUGAUGAAUUGAAAGAAGCCGUAUGCUUUCAUGUCAGAGAACUCGUUCCGCACAUGUAUGUUAAACUAUCGGUACUGUCAAUGGCUAACAAUGAUCUCGCUUUCAUCGGAUUAUUGUAAUCAUGUCAAUCAUUGUUCACAGCUGUGUCAGUACACUAGAUAGGCAGCAUCUCUUUGAUAUUACUAGAGAAGAACUGGAGCAAGUGAUGCUUCAGGAAACAUGUCUUAGUGACAAAGUAAGUUUUUUAUGCGAUUGCACAGGCCUACCUUGUUCACUGAUCUCGCUUUGUAUUUCCACUCUUAUUGAAUGUUUGAAUUUGUUCCAUUCUGUGAAGGUUGUGACCCAGUACCUUCACUUACUCCAGAAAGAAUAUAAGCAAUUUGUUUUCUUCAAUCUUAUGUUUUGGGUACGUAAGGAAAAUUAUUGUAUGUGCUGUUGUGCCUAGCAAAAUGUGGACCUAAUACUUGCUUCUCAAUCACUUCGUUGUAGCUAAAAUGCGUGUUAGACUAUCCAUGCAUAUCUCCCGCAACCAAAAAGCCAUUCGUUGAUCAAAGCAAUGACGACUCCAUGACAAAUCCUGAAAAGGUAAACAUUAGCUAUCAUUCUCGCCUUAACAUUCUUAUACAAUAUGAGUAGCAGCUGCAUGUUAGUGGAAUUGGAUUCAGCCUAAUAUGCCUUAGCUUUUAACACAUUCGACAUUGCUUGUUGUAUGCAAUUGCAGAUUUUUUUCCGAAUCAUUUAUUCAAAUCAUUGGUUGCUCAUGAUUGCACAUGUCAAAGACAAAGAAGUGUACAUUGUUGAUUCUAUGGACAAUUACAAAACCUUCUACCAAGGUUUGAUGCAAUCUGUGGUGAGUAAACUUCAAAAUCGUACCUUAGCUUCAUUUCCGAAGAAGGUAACAUAUUUCUAACAUUCGAUACUUACUGUAUUUAUUUCCUUUUUAGGAAUGGAUUUUGAUGAAAAUUUUCCACGAAAAUCAACCCUGGACAUUUAUUCUUGUAAAACACAAACUAAAACAGUUUGUAAGUGCAAAGGGGUUGUUUGCGCAAUGUUUGCGCAAUGUUGAAACUAAAUUUUCAAGGUGGAAAAUUUAGUUUUCACCUCGAAGAACUAAGUUCAACAGAAGAACUGGGUUUUCACCUUGAAGUUUGUGCAAUGUUGGGCAAAGGGGUGUCGGCCACAAAUUGUAAGUGCACAAAUGGACAACCCCUUGUGGCAAGCUCACUUUAUUGCGUCUGACAUUGUUUCUGAAUGUAUGUACAGCUUGAUGUUGUCAUUACUAGAAAAUUUAUUGCCUGCGAGAUCGUUUUGGGGAAACUUGUGGACCCGUUCGCUUAUGCUGCUUUCCUGAUAGAAAAUAAACAGGCACAUGAGGCUAUAACCAGAGGUGAUUUGCAAGAUGAUGCUACCAACGAUGUGGGGCAUCAGGAAACAGGGAACGGUACAUUAUGUCUCGCCUUUACUGUAAUUGGUUCGUUGCAUAUGAAGGCAAUAUUAAAUUUUAAAUUCUUUAGAGCUGUAGCAAAUUAUUGGUACGAAAUUAAUCAUUGUAUAAAGGGAACCAUAAAAAGUGUAUGUACCUUUGUUCCGAUGCAUCUCCCCGUGACCAUUGCAUUCACAAAUUGCUUUUCUACUCUCGCUAUUCCAUUAUUGCAGGGCUGCUGCUCACGACAUUGUAAUAAAUUCUCGACCCCAAAACUUUGCUUUACACUUUCCAAUUCCUCUUGUUUGAUUUCGCAUUAUGACAUUCAAAUUGGAUCUCAAAUGCAAAAUUCAUGUGCUGAAAUGCUGUAUGCUUUCAAUUUUUCCCCAGUCGAAGGUACAAGGGUAACAAAAAGCCCGCCAGAACUUGCGUCCGCCAAUGAUUCAAAGAAGAAGUUUCUUAUUCUUGAUUUGAAUGGAGUGCUUCUGGGCAGUGCAUUUACAAGGAUGACCAGAAAUCGGGACUUUAACUUCAGACCACAUUGCUUUGAAUUUUUGAAGGUCUGUCUGUCAUAUUUUGAGGUGGCUGUUUGGUAAUCAAAGCAAAGGUAUCCGCCAACCUAUAUUUGAAUUACUUCAUUAAUUGGAACUUCAAUACAAGUUUUUCUGUUAUCAUUGGAAUUCAAGACAUUUGUGUUUUCUGCAGCCACAAUAUUCAACCAGUGUUGGACUGUCUAUCCAAAAAAAUGAAUGAACGUUUGGAGUAGAGACUAUUAUUUGUUUGGGUGAGAUGUAAUUCACAUAUUACUUCGAUUGUGUGUGGUCAGUCCAUAUGUAAGACUUCUGAUAAAUGAAAGUCAGAAACAAUCAAUAUUGUGCAGGAUCAGUCGCGGUGCACUAUGACACAAACCAGCCUUAGGAAAAAUCCAACCAAAACGGUGAUGUUUAAGGACCUGAAACAUGUGUGGGGAGAAUAUAAGUCAUACAACAGCUCUAACACGAUAUUAGUCGAUGAUUUUCCGUAUAAAUCAUUCCUUAAUUCUGUAAGUGCACCAUACCCACUCAUCGUUAUGUUGUAUAUGUUCGGUAUGCACAAAUAACAUGAUCAGGGCUAACUGUUUCCAUACUACUCAUUCUUCAGCCGUACAAUGCCAUCUUCCCCACCUCUUAUACAUGUUACACUGUACAAGACAAUUAUUUGGGUAAGACGCGGUUCGCGAUGCUUUGAAAUGUGGCUUUUGCUACGGUAAGCACAGGGUGUUCAGCUAGCCUGACACAAAACUUAUUUGCAGAUUCUGAAGGAGAUUUUGUACGACACCUGAAGAAAUUGGCCAGUGCUGAUAAUGUACAAGAUUUCAUUAAGCGAAACCGUUUUGGACAAUCACCCGUAACAAAAGGCAGUGUGGAUUGGAACUUUUAUGUUAAUGUUGUCACCAAGCUUGGACUGCAGAACACAGUAAAGCAAGUGACGCGCAAACGGGAAGCCCCAAACAGAUAUUCUCCGGAGGUAUCCAUUGCAUUCAUGUUCAGGAAUAUGUUUACAAUAGUUCAACACCUCGUUAUGAUAGCUAAAAUUGCGUCUGAUCAUAUGCACAGAGCAAGAAAAAAAGGAAAAUUUGAAAGCAUGAGGAAGAUCAGUUUAUGGACCGUUCACUGUACGGAAGCUUCUCCAAACCAUUGGAAGGACAGAACCUCUCUUCUGAUGGGACAUACAAGCAAAACUGUUGUGCUUUAGUGAGACACUGGGCCUGUCUAAUUCAUAUAUGUUGGUACUACUUUCUUCCCCUACUUCUGUUUUUGUUUGCAAAUGAUACAAGCUGAGUUUUUUUAUGCAAAUGUAAAAGGCCAGAAAUGUCGAAGUUGGGAAUGACGUAUGUUGUCUGCAGGUUCCCGAAUGCAUAUCAGGAAAAAUUAUCAGAUAAAAUCUGUAAUUGCUGUCAAAUGCAGGAUGCGUCAGCCAUAUACUCCUGCUACAAACGUUGGCAUGUAGUAAGUUUAGCCUGUUUUCAUUCUAAUUGUUUGUUGGCAACUUCUCGUCUAAACAUUAAGGAUCUAAAUGUCACUCACAAAAUCUGUCCGUCUGGUUAACCUCUCGGAUACGUGCAAUACUAACAGUUGGUCAGGGAGCAAUGGUUGACAUUAAUUGAGCUAGGCUCCUUGCUUUGCGUCUGUACCAAAAAAAAGUCCAGCAAUGGAAUCUGUUAACCAACACGAAGUCUGUAUGAGUAAUGUAUUCCUUUAGUUAACCUCUGGUUGAAUAUGUCAUUGGGUAGUGAAAAUUAGCUGCUGGACUAGGAGCUUAAGAUUGCCUCACUUUUGAAUGGGGAUGUCUAUGCUGCUGACAGGCUUGGAGAACUUACAAUACUUUUGUGGGCUUGUAUUGAUGCAUUCGUUGGACAAAUUGGAAUACGUUAUUGAAGGGAUGCACAUGACGCAGGCACAGAUGUUUCCCAUCAUGCAAAUGGUUUGACGGAACAGGUAACAUACCCAGCAGCUUGGACAUACCCCUUGUUGGGGAUGUGACUUCAGGCUAGAAGGUUGUCUUGCAUGAAGAAAAUGGUUCAAUCUAUUAUUGGAAUAUUGAAACAGGAGAAACUUCAUGGGAAGUUCGUGGUUUGCCCAGAGUCGUGUUUGUGUAGACAGUGCAAGCGAUGCGUUUAUUGCUGAACGGUUUCAUGCAGAAAAUGUAAUUGGCUGGAUUCUAUGAUUCCUGCAGCAAAUACUGCUAUUAUAUUCUUGUAAAUAUGCCAUGGGUAUGGAGACACGUGCAGGGUACGGAAGCAAUUUGUAGCAGAGCAAGACUGCUGUGGUGGUGCUCUUGGUUUGGUGUUGAAUUCAUUGUUAACAUGAAAUUAUUGUUCAUUACACCCACUUCCAUAGCUUUUCACUGUCUGGUUUGCGUACAACAGCAGAAUUUUGUUAAAUUCAUCCGAAUGCAAUAUUGAUAGCUUCGUCAUGACCACCAGUAUCUACAGUCAACAGGGUUCUUAACUUGUUUUGCCCCGUCACGCGCGAGCACUAGGUUUCUGAAUGUACGGUUAAAUACCCCUUUCUCUUAAACACAAAUUUAGAUAUCGGCUUUAGGCUUACUUUGGGAGCUUACGAACGAAGAGAAGAGAAAAGAAGAGAUAACUUAGAAAAGAAAGGAAAAGAUGCAUAUUUCGUUUGGGAGUUCAACGAAAGAAAAGAAAACAAACAUCUUUCCCUUAUUUGAGAGUUGGAGAGAUGUGGAAAGACAGAAUUUUAUGAGAAUGCAACUUUACAUAUUUGCCCUUUCAAUUUUUAAAUCAAAGUCCAAAAAUUAGUUUUCUUGUUCCAAUAAAUAGAAUAUUUGAACAAGACAAAUUUCUAAAAUAAUUGCAUAUGCAUUCCUACAAGGUGAAUAAUAAUAAGUUGCAUUUCCAAAUAAUAAGUUGCUGUUUUUUCUUGCAUCUUGAGCUAUUUGUCCAAUUUUACUCAAAUGUUAACCUUCAGCUCAUUGAGAUUCCACAUAUAUAUUUAUAAAUGUAUAUUAUAUGUGCAUAUAUUUAUAAUAUAUAUGUGUAUGUGGUAAUAAUAUAUUAUAUAAUUAUACUUAUAUUUGUUAUUAUAAAUAUACUAAUAUAUACUUAAAAUUAUACUAAUUAAUAUAUAAUAUUCUCUAUAAUUAUAAAAAAUAUUAGUACAAUGAUAUAAUGCAUUAUAUAAAUAUAUAUUAUAAUUAUUUAAAUAAAUAAAUAAACUAAUUCUAAAUUUUUUGGGAUAAUUUCAUAAACCAAAUCGCAGUCACUUCCGUAAUGUAUCACUUUCCCAUAAAAGACCAGCUCUUUAUGACCUUCCUCCAUUAUAAGAACAAAGCACCCAUUUUUUCAUUAAUAGAUUUAUUUAUCGGAUAAAAUAUAUAAAAACUCGUUUUUCAAUAAAACCCCAACUCUUUAUGGCUUUUCUCCAUUAUAAGAACAGAGUACCCUUUUCCAUAAAAAAAUUUAUUUAUCGAAUAAAAUAAAAAUAAAUCAGUUCUCUAAUAAAACACCAACUCUUUAUGGCUUUCCUCCAUAAAUUAUCCAGUUUCCCAUUUUUCCAUACGCUAAUUCAGGGGAGGUUUGUGAAAUUAUCCUGUAUAAUAUAUAUGUGUAUAUAAUAUUAAUAAAUUAUAUAAUUAUAAUUAUAUAAAAUAUUAGUUAUGGGUGAAGAACGGAACAAGAGAAUUACGGGUGAAUUAUAGGUGAAGAACGAAAAAAAUAUUAGUUAUUGAUGAAUUAUGGGUGAAGAACGGAAAAAAGCCCAGUUUUCUGAUUUCUCAACUUGCUGGAAAUCCCAUAAAGUACAUGACACAGGGCCACUGAGAAACCUUUGCAAUGCAUUUAGAAAUUUAUUUUAGGAUAUAAUGGGAAUAAUGAAUUUUUGUAUCAGACAAAAUUUAGUUAAAGGCGUUGUGUUAUAAAAGUCAACCUCUUUAUGCCUUUCUUCCUUCAUACAGGCACCAGUACCCAAGUUCCUCAAAUACAAAUUCAUUUAUCGAAAAGCAAAAAAAUAGACCCGUUGUUCAUAAAAGAGUAGCUCUUUAAGGCUUUCUUCCGUUAAACUGACACAGUCCCCAACGUGCAUCAAAUACAAAUGUAUUUAUCGGAUGAAAUAUAGUUAAAGCCGUUGUUGAAUAAAAAUCAGCUCUUUAUGGCUUGCGACCGUGUUACACUGACAAAGUAUCCAGGUGUCUUAAACACAAAUGUAUUUACCGGAUGAAAUGUACUUAAACCCGUUGUCGAAUAAAAGAGCAGCUCUUUAUGGCUUUCUCCGUUAUAAGUACAAGGUAACCAUUUUCCGUUAAAAAAAUAUUCAUUUAUCAGCUAAAUGUAAAUUAAACCCCUUUUCCAAUAAAACACCAGCUCUUUAUGAAUUUCCUCCACUAUGACAACAGAGUACCAAUAUCCCAUACUUACAAAUUCACUUAUCGGAUAAAAUUUAAUUCAACACGGUUUGCAAUAAAACACCAGCUAUGUAUGGCUAAUUUAUUUGUUCGAUAAAAUUAGAUCGAUAUUAUACUUGAGUGCCAUUUACCCGUUAGCAUAGAAUGCAAAGCAAGAAACUAACCUAUUGCAGGUUUAAACUCCGUUUUAAGACAAAUUGUUUCGGAUACGUCAACACACCUAAUUCAUAAACUCUCACGAAACAUAAAUUUAAACGCGUUAAUUAUUAAUUACCACAAAUCAAAUAUUUCAAUCUUUUUUCAUUUAUUUCUAAUUAGUGCAUACCAUGGAUCACUGUACGCUAGUCAUAACCAACCACAAAUCUUCUCUUAACUUUCGACCACAUGAAGAUUGUGGUACUCGUUAUCCCCAUGGCAAGGUCUCCCCACACCACCGCUGGCGAGUUUGCUCGGUUGAACUUUGCUUUCUCUUCCUCUAAUGAAACUCAUAGAUACACACUAACCGCUUGCCUUACUAUAGCAGCUUUUGGACUCUCUGUCUCUGACUUCUACAUUUUGGGUUACGACGACGUGCAUCCGAGUAUGAUAGCCCCUAUUACAUGCCCCUUUCCACAAAAUGCGGUUACUUUGUUUCUCUAUCUUGCUACCUUCAUCCAACCUCAACUUUAUUCAUCUCCAACCUCCUGUGCAUGUUCGUUUUCCGCAUAAUUUGAUGACGGACAACGUUGGCAUCAUCCAGAACCAAAGACAGUGCUACUUUGCGCCGCUCUUGCUCCGAAUCAUACUGCAUCGAUAAAUUUGUUACUAUCUCCAUCGUUUGCAACCAAAGCAAGCAAACACACUUACUGUUACAGCACACGACGCCAUUCCUUUUUGCUUACCUGAUUCCAUUUCCAGCUUCCAAUUCCACUUGAUAACAUAUCCAUGUACUUCAGCAUGAAUAACCCACAAUCCCACCUGUAUUACAAACCAUAACCACAAAUUUAGACACAACCGUUGCUGAACUAUGGAAAAAACUUCCAAACCUAUGCAGGUGUAACUUACGCAUUCCGUUGCUAUGGACAUGUGGCUGUAGCUUUUAUUUUGUACAGCCAAAGGCAUGACGAAUACUACCCCUCCAAACCAUAAGUCAGCGCUGCUUCCAACCUUUCAAUCUGAGGGCCAUACAAGAAAAACAUAUGCGAUUUUAAGUUUACUGCCACCAAUUGUAAAGGUGAUGGUCGUGUUCAUGAAAUGUUUGAUGACAAACCAACUUAGUUUACCAUUGUCUCCACGGAGCUGCGCCUAUUCAUAUCCGUUUUCUCGUGUCCUCUCAUUGAAUCAUAAAUUAAUACUUCUUCGCUUGCCAUGUCCACUACACACAUAUACCAAUGCUCAUUGUGCCACAUUGGCACGAAUAUCUGAAGCAUAGCAGCGGUUAGUUAGUCAUCAUCAUGGGAAUCUGUAUCUAUUCCAUUAUGCUACAUAACAUGGCAGCUUCUCGUACCUUCUCACACUUUUUUAUAUUACCUCCUACUUUACAUUCCUGUAGAUAUGUACAGUAGAGCUCGUCUGCUAAUUUGUUGAACUCCAAAAUCUCUUGCUACAAUACGACAGUAAAAUAUGAUAUUUUCAUAUGAAUGUACGUACUCACACCCCCCAACUUUGGCCGAACACUUGUACCUGAAACCAAGUUGGCAUGAACCACCAUCGAAUUGACUGAUCUACAGCAUGCCUUUGUUGCCUUGCUGUUUUCAUCGCACAAUAGCAAUUUAUUAUCUGCACCAAACUCAAGUCACAUCACUUCGUCCUCCAUGAAACAGUCCACAUAACACCACCCAAUUUCAAUCCCUCGAUUUACUCACAUCGCAUGCCAUGGGUUUUUCAGGAAGCAAGGACCCCAUUGCAUCCCGACUUGCUGUCUGCCCCUUAAUUGACACCAGUACUUCCCUGUCAUUACAACAGGGUACAUUAAUCUUUUCUCUAUGUGUAUUACGGUUUCAUAAUCUACAAACUUGAUAUCAUCAUUUUCAAUGAUGAGAGUUAAAAUGGCCAGAGUAGGUUCGCUCUUCCUCUCUAAUACAACCAGCAAUCACGGUUUCAAUGACUCAAUCAGUCCUUAGGGUCAUUGAGUUAGCCUAAGGCGGUUAUGUACUCACCAUAAGGGUCAUUGAGUUAUCAUUGUAGUUCCAUUCUCAAACUUCUGGAAUACUCACCUUUUAUUUUAUAUGCAAGCAUGUUACCUACCCUUGCUUUUUAUAUAAGCAGGCAUGAUUGACAGUACACUAAUUGUAAGUUUUAUGCUCACUUGUAAACCAAUUUUAACUGCUUCCAAGAUUUUAGUUGCUAUGCCCUCUCCCCUAUGGGGAUAAUCAUACUACAUAUUUAGUCAACCUUAUAAUUGUAAAUACUUUUCUGUCCCUUUUGCCAUUGCAAUUUCAAAUAAAGGAUAAAACAAAAUAGAACUGUUGAUUUAACAAAUCCAUGAUCCAGUACAUACCCUUGCGACAGUUGAGUGUCAAACAAGAACUUCAGUAUUUUUGCUCGUCCCUCACUCAAUUUUUCGCCGAUAGAUGCCAGCCUCGUUUCCUGCUACCACAAAAAUAUGUCAUCUUUCAUUGUCUAUAUUUUCCCAUACUUUAGUAAUUCUAGAACGUUGGAAUACUCACCUUUGCCAAUAAAGCAACCAUCUUCGUUUGACGCUCGUUCAUCCCACUGUUAUCCAUCUGUACAUAAAACUAUAAUUUAUACUUUACUUUUCUAAUGCCACGAAAUACCUUGCCACAAACCGAUGCAUACCUUUAUUCUUUUACCUUGCCUUCUGUUUUGUUUGUCUUCCCACACAGGCUUCUCCGUAUUGUCCAUCCUUAGUCUCUUUCUACUCCUCCACUUUAUAAUUUUCGAUGCACUCUUUUCACCCAUUACGGUACUAUUCGUAGUUACUCUAUCAUUUUCACUCCUGCUUUUGGACCUAACAUUUGGCGUUGAAGGACUAAUUUUAUGUAACUCACUACCUCUUUUAACAUUACCACGCCAAUCGUCCUUCUGCCCACCCUCCACACCAAGUGCCCGGUUUGUUUUGCACACCCUUCCACUUUCAUACAUGCUCCUCAGCCUUUCAAAAUGACAUUCAAUCAUUGCUUCCAUUCUACCAAUACUAUCCUUCACAUCUUUAUUACCACAUUCAAUUUCAAUCAGUCUUCUAUCAAUGUCUUCUCUACAGCUUAUGUUAUUGUAAAACUGCACAUUGCCCUGUCACUACAACCCUUCAGUUUUGUACUACUAGUAACGUCACAAAAUGCAGAUUGCAAAUUCAACAACAGUUCACACGAAAGGAUUUUACAUUACCUGUUCCCCCUCAAAUAUGUGAUUCCUCCUCAAUAUUCGCACGCUUUCAUUAAUCUCGUACCUUCCCCAAAAUCUUAGCCUCGGCCCUCUUGGCUGGAACUUGCGAAACUAGUCCUCACCCUCGAUAUAGAAUCGUUCCAAAUAGUAAAUCUGCACGGACAAACACGACUACCAUCAUUUACAGGUCUUUUAUAUCAAAGUUUAAUUUCAUUAUUCCAGCAAUUCCUAUCUCUAAUACAAAAUGAUGCGUCUUUCUUAUACCAUCAACAAAAGUGCACAUCCCGCUAUUCCGUUGCCAUCUCUAUCACGGAUGCUCUUCACCAAAUUGUCUAGUAUGAAUUUCGACCAGUUCAAAUUUUCCAUAUUCUCUUUUGUAGCCCCUACAGCCACCAGAUCCCGGCUCACUGUGUCAUCCAAACUUGGUGCUAACAACCUACCAACAAUAAACAGUACGAACUUCACUUUGAAUUCUAAGCCUUCGUUAUGCAAACUACAUAUAUUGUGCCUCAAUUCCUCCACUACAAUUUCACCGCUAUUUAUUAUGAUAUUCAAUUCUCUUUCCAACUCUGUAUCCAUCUCUUGCCUUCGCUUUUCGCUUUCAAUAUCUUUCCCACGGCUGCUCAAGCCAAGUACACAUUCCACAUCCUCGGCUGUCACCUAUAGACAGUACCCAUGAACGUUCAGUGUCCUCCGAUCUACAUCAAAGUUAUCCACCAGCCAGUUCAACAUCUCUUCGUCAACCUCUACUCCCUUCACAUUCAAAAUUGACCCGAAUCCAAAGUCUCUGACAGCCUGCCGCUACUCAUCCGAGAGCCAAUCCACCAUAUUCUUCACGGAAUGAGUUGAGUGGCUUACCAUUGUUUCCGCCGUCCGACGAAUGGCCUUCAUUUCACUGCUGCAACUUUUAUAAUUCGAAGGUGUUCCACUCUCAUGCAUCAGCGAUACUACAUUUUCGCUUUCUCCUUCACUAUCCCACUGCAUAUCCGAAGCAUCUAUUUCGGCCGCCAGCUCCAUAACAAAUCCCUAUCUUCUGCUAUUCCUCCUGCUCCGGUUUUGGCGCUUCUUCCUUUCUAAUACGCCUACACUGUUUAGCUUAUCCAGUAAGAUUCGCGCCUUCUUUCCUUGUCGUACUUUUGCAUACAAACCCUCACUUUGCCAGUUGCUUAAUUUCGCCCCCUCCACAUUUCACAUGCGCGGUUGGAGUCCCCUUCAACGCCCAAUAGCUCUUCCGGUUGCACGUCACAAAAGCCCGUUCCACGUGCCCAGCCAACACACUUCCCCUACCGUUUGUGGCCACAAAUGCUUGAAUGUCUUUUCCCUUAACUUUUCACACCUCUGUUUUGACAUCUAAACAUACCGCAGCAACAUCCGCCAAUUUAGUCCUACGACUAUUUUGCUUAAGCCAAAAUAGUCCCUCAUCCAUGUUUACAUGAUCAAUUUGGUCUUUAUUUAGCUAAUUGUCCAAUUUAUCAACUUUUGGCAUCGACAACCAACGGCAUAAUAGGAAAUCUAACCAUGGUCCUUAUUAAAAUAAAGAAAAACUGAUAUUCGCCAAAAAAUUGGAUCCAUGUGAAAUUUUAGGCAUCGGCUCCAUUUUUUAAUUCCAAAAGAAGCUCUAUAAAUUUUUUUUGUUCUCUAUAUGAUUCAAUUUAGUUUUUUAUAAAUAUUUUUUUUUUAUUGUUUUGAUAAGGGCAAUGAUUGAAUUCUUAUUUUGCCCUAUUUGUGAGUGCAGAAGGUUUGAUAAAUUGGGUGGAUGUACCAACAUGGUCCAAACUGGCCAUGUAAAUAAAGGUGAAGGACUAUUUCAAUUUAAGUUAAAUAGUUGAGGGACUAAAUUAGCUCAUAAUAAAGUUUUAAGACUAUUUCAACUUCGUACAAAUAGAUGAGAGACUAAGAUGACUCAUAAUAUAGUUUAGGGACUAUUUCGACUUUAGCAAAGUAGUUUAGGAAUUAAAUUGGUGUUUUGCUCUUUAAGAAAAUUUUAUUCUAAAUGACACACUCACCUUUUUAAAUAAUCACCUACUUCCUUAAUUUUAAAAAUUCUCAUAUUGGUAUUUGUCAUUUAAACAUGUCAUGAAAAUUAGUUUAUUUUUUUAUGCAAAUUCUAAUUAUUAUGAGCGCAUGAUUGUAAUAGUUUCUCUCUAUCCAUAAAGUUUUUGGUUUUCUUUACUUUAAUCAUCUUUCAAUUUUAAAAAUAUAUUAUCUUUUUUUUAAAUAAAAAAUAUUAUCCAUAGUGUGGUUUUAAAUUGCAUAUGUACCUCAAACUUUAAAUUUUACAAAUGCAUUGCUUCACUUCUAGUCGUAUUUAAUUGGUUAUUUACAUUUAGGCUCUAUUUGAUAACUCAAUUCAGCACUUAAACUUAAUAGAUUUAAAUUUUAACAUAUUCAGACGCGCUUGAUAAUAAAAAAUUGAACAUCUGAAUUGAUUAAGUGGCACUAAAUUUUCUACGCAAAAUAAGUAAUAAACUAUUCACUUAUCACUGAAUGUGAUAUAUACUCAAUUAUAUUAGAUUUAAUACUUAAUAAUUCAAUAACUUAAUAAAUUCAAGUUUUAAAUUUUAGUUUUAAAACUUCAACUUUAUCAAACGCACCCUUAGAGUUUACGUUGGAUUUUCUAUGGAUGAUUUUAUUCUUGUUGAGGUGCUAAUGAAUCUCUAUAAACAAUAUGAUUCUUAAAUCAUUUAGAAGGCCAAACAACUAUCCUAGAUUAAGAAUUUGUGGACAAAAAGGAAUAUACCUAUCAAACUUUUUUAUUAGUUAGGCGUUUCCAAUUUUUUUUUUAGUUUGGUAGGAAAAUUUUUUUCUCCAUGCACUUUUGGAGAAAAGUCUAAUAGUGCUUUACGGUUUUUUAGAAAUUAAUUUCUAUCAGCUUUAUACACAUGCACGAUUACAUUAAUGACACAUUACCUUCACUCAUAUUUAAAAGGGAAAAGUUACACUUUACUCCUCUAUAGUAUAGCUAAUUUUUACAUAACCCCCUCUAGAUUUAAAAACUAUAUAUAACCCCCUCAUAGUUUCGAUUAAAGUGUCAAAGUGAUGAAAAUGAUCAUUCGUAACGGAAUCUAUGAAAAUGUCAAAAUUAUCCUUGUUUAAAAACUAAAAUAGCUUAAGUAACCAAAAUAUAUAAACAUAAUAUGUAUAACACUCUAACCGCAUAUGAUUUUAUAUUUUAUUAUAUAACCCCCUUACGGUUUUGUAUUUUACCAUAUAACUCCCUUAUGAUUUUCAAUAUUUAUACAUAUGAAAAUGUCAAAAUUACCCUUGUUUAAAAACUAAAAUGGCUUAGGUAACCAAAAUAUAUAAACAUAAUAUGUAUCACUCUAACCCCUUAUGAUUUUAUUAUAUAACUCCCUUAUGAUUUAGUAUUUUACCAUUUAACUCCCUUAUGAUUUUCAAUAUAUAUACAUAACCUCUCUGUGAUUAAUAAAUAAUUUUUUAACUUUAUAUAGAGGCAACAUUUUAGUUGACUUCGUUACAUUUUAAUUCAAACUAUAAUGGGGCUAUGUAUAACUUUUGAAACCAUAAAGAGAUUAUGUAAUAAAAUACUAAAUCAUAGGGGGUAAAGUGUAAUUUGCCCUAUUUAAAAUCCUCUUCUUGCAUGUGGAAUCUCAUUUGGGCAAACUCGCACAUUGUGUGAGCCAAAAGACUAGUAGAUCUCCAAUUUUUCAUCAAAAUACCAGUAAUGUUUAUAUAAUUUGAAACACUUUUCACAAAAUAUGCAUUUUUUAUACUAUGUGUGGGUUGUGGUCUGUAUCUCUUUUAGAAUAUCCUUGCAUUAAGUGCAGAAAAAUGAGCAUAAGAUGGCUUCGUGAACAAAAAAAUUUGGAGUGGGAGAAUUCAAAUGAUACAAUUUUGUAACCUGAAAAAUUGUAAAUUAAACUAUGAGAACAAAUAAUUUUUUUUUUUAAGAACAAAGCCUCAUGCAGCUAAAAACGUGUCAAGUAUAAUUUUUUGUUUUUGAAAAAUGCGUCAUGUGUAAUGUUAGAAUGAGGAAAAUUCAUUCUUGAUGUCCACUUACUCUAAAUUAAAUUUUAUCUUAGACUUUUAUAUCUAGUUUAGUUCCCUGCUUGUGUCACAUAUCCAUGGUAUCUGUAGACCACAAAUGUUUUAGACAGCAGUUGUUUGAAUUGCUACAUGUAAGCCAAAUCAAUAAAUAUAAUUUUUUUUCUAAUAGACAUUCAUUAAUUCAUUUAUAAGUUAAGUGUAAUCUAUCAAGUGAAUGCACAUAACAAAAUGUAAGGAUCGAAGAUAACCUAAGAGCGGGGUGAAUUAGGUUAUUUAAAAACUAAUUAAGUUAUUUUUUUUAUCAGACUUUUGGAAUUAGUUAAUUAAAUCUAAUCCCAAAUUUAACCCCAAAAGCCGGCAUAGAAAACUCAUAGACUAAUGCAUCGUAACGAAAUUUGUAAAAUUUUGAGACUACCAAUGGAUGGACAAUUCAGUCAAUUUUCGAAUAAAUCGUAAAUUCCAUCCAAUCCAUUUUACCAGUUUAUUCAUUUUAGGACAUCCACUCAAUUUUUGAAUAAAUCAUCAAUUCCAUCCAAUCCAUUCAACUAAUUUUUUCACUUUUGAAUAAAUCAUCAAUUUCAUCCAAUCCAUUUGAUCAAGUUUUCCAUUUUUAGGGCAAUCCAGUCAAUUUUUGAAUAAAUCAUCAAUCACAUCCAAUCUAUUUGACUAGUUUAUUCUCUUUUAGGGUUUCGAUCUAUCGUUCGCUGAAAACCUAGUCGAGAUAUUGCAAUCUUUUCAAAAGUAGGUCCUUCACACUAAAUUGAUUUUUCAACAUCAUUUUAUGUGUCAAUCAAAAUAAUCAAUCCAUUCGGACUUUGUUCUCAUUUUGUUAGGGCAAAUGUCUCUUGUCACUCCAAUUAGCCAAAUUUUUCAAAUUAUUUUUCACUCGAAUAUCAAUAAGUUGAUCGGAUUCAUCAGGUAUUGUAUGGUGUCUACCUUAGAGGAUUGCAUUUUCAUUCUAGACCAACCCUUGGCAUAAAAGGGCUUCCCCAUAGGAUAUGUAUACUGAUUUUACUAUUUUGCUUACUAACUCUGGGUAUUUUUCUUUCAUUUUCCCCCUCUCCUGCAUUUACAAAAGAUGUUUCAAUAAGGUGAAAAUAUUUUUCUAUAUCUGAUAAUGAUUUUUGUCUAAUAAAUCUUGAAAAUUACAAGUAUUAUUUGAUUCUUGGGCAGAUCCUAUAAUGUAAAUUUGAAGAAUCUAUCUGGAAGUGCUAGUUUAAAGCAUUUAAGAGAUUUCAUGAUUUAGUGUUAAAAAAAAUUUCGUUUCAAACAUUUACAACAAUAAAGUUUUUCAUUUAAACAAUUAUUGUUUUGUAGAUAUUCAUAUUCAAUUCAUUCUUUAUUUGCUCAUUGGGAGAUUUCAUGAUGAACUUUAAGAAAUAAGACUAAACUGAGAUUUUUCAAUCUCUUGCCUGAAAAUUCACAAGUGUAUGUUUAAUUUUCUAAAAUCUUUGCAUACACUAGAUUGGUGGUCCAAACUAUUCAAUGAGAGCAUUCGAAAUCAAAAGAGGUCACUCAAACAUGAGAAUUUGUCUCAAAAGAACAACAAGAUACCUUUUCCCCUUUCAUUCUUUACAAUUCAUAUUUUGCCCACUUCCAUCAAGCCUUCAAAGUCAGUCACAUUAGUUGACAAACUUCAGAGUGAGGCAAUCUUUAUUUUGAAAAUACCCACUAGGUCUAAUCGGAUUCAAUUCACAUCUAAGUGAAAGCAAAAAUAUAUAUUACUCUUGUUUGUUUUGAAAAUUUGGAAUGAUAUUUUAGACGUUCGUUUCUCUAUCUAUACAGAUUUUACCAUUUGUUCUCCUAUUUGAGCCUUUAAAAAAGUACAACUUCAUUUCAAAUAAAAGCCUUAGUGAUCGUAACCCUACAUGGGAAAAAUUUUUAAAUAUCAAAAGGGAAUGGAUUCUCAAUGAGUUAUUCUUUGCUUUGAUUGUCAUGUAACGUAAGAAUGAUACUUUGGUCAUCGUUUCUCCAAUCUAAACACUGUUUAUCUCUUGCACCCUCAUUUGAGUUUAAAUUGGUGGUUUGUUUCAAAAACAUUUAUGAUCGCACCCCACAUUGGGGAAAGAGAUUUGAGAAUAGCAAAAAUGCUAAAAGUAAAAAGAAGAGAGAAAAUUACAAGUUGGGGGAACUUGAUUCUAUCAUUGAUAUUUGGACUUCAAUAUUGGAAAGAGAGAGGGCACAUAUUCUCUAAAAGUUAGGGGAUUUUCAACUUUAACAUUAAUAUUUAAAAUUUCGGUUUUAGAAAAAUUAAAAAAAAAGAAGAAAAAAAUGAAAAAAAAAGAAAAAGAGAAAGAUGCAAAGCCAUCUAAUGCUAAAUUCCCUCUAGUGGUUGAUGAUAAAAGUCAAAAUGAAGUCCAAGAUCUUUAACUCCAAAAUUGGGGCAAUUUUUGGGAGGAAUGCGAUCUCAAGUGCAAUGUCCUUAAAAAUCUUAUUUCUUUAACUAUCAUUUUUAAGCCACAUUACGAGCUCAUAAAAUCCAUCGCUGACUUAUCUUUCUUGACAAUUCGAACUAAGGAUCAUGCUUCUAAAGAAUCUACCAAUCAUUCGUGAUCAUAAUGCCAUAACCUGCUUCCAUAUGUUUAGCUAUCGUUUCUAUCCAUACAUUACAAACCUAUAGAGCUUAAAUGUUGAUUGAGUUUUCUCAAGAAAUAAGAGUGAUAAACUAUUCGUUUUCACCAAGAUGUGAUAUUGAAUAGGUUAGACACAAUCUGGGCAUAAAAAGCAAGGCAAAUCCAGACAUGCCAUUUCCCUUAGCCACCUCAAAAUCAUAAAUAACACCACUUGAUUGGUCCUAAAGGAUGAGCUAAUAAGAAAAGUGUUCCUUCCCCCCUAAGCACAUGGGCUAAAGUGAGGAAGAAAUCUGUUGCAAUUUGGUCUUGUUUUAAGAGAUUCAUCAUGAAAUCUUUUGCAAGAAUUUAAACUUUUACAUUUGAAAAAUGCAAUUUCUAUUCACAUUGCAUGUUAGUAUGUGAUCAUUUUCUAAAUUUUAGGAAACACAAUUUUUCUUGUUUUGUCCAAAUAGAUGGAUAGCCAUCCAAAUAAAAUUUUUUGCAACUAAAUAGACUCACACUGGGGCAACAUUUUAUAAUAUAUUUGUAAGAUUUCGCAAGAUAGGCUCAAACUGGGGCAAAUUUUUAUAAUACAUUUGUGAGAUUUCACCAAAUGGGUCCAAAAUUGGGGUAAGUUUUCGAGAUUUCUCCCAAGAGUCAAGUAAUAUACUUUCAAAUCUAUUGCUCAAAAUUCGAUUUUUGAUAAGACCAUUCCUUUCAAGAAUAGUAAAUGCAUCAUCUUUCAGAAUAAAGAGAGAAUUUUUUUGUCAAAACUCAAGUGCAUGUUGUACUUUGAUAAACCCCCCUCUGCGCAAGUAUUCAUGGCUGAAAUCGACGAAGAAGCGCAAGUCAGAAUACUGUGAAUUCGAAGGUCAAUCAUGAAAAAAAAGAGAGGAAAAAAAACAACAAACCCUACGCUGGGGCAAUUUAGAAAAUAAAAAAGAAAGAAAAAGAAAAAAGAAGAAUUUCAAAACCUAUUUCUACCAUUUUUAUUUUGUUGAGUUUGGGUUUUAUCCUACCAACCUCGGCAGACUCGGGUUUUAUCCCAUUGACCGUUUUUAUUUUGUUGGGUUUGGGUUUUAUCCCAUCAAUCUCGGCGGGUUUGAAUUUUAUCCCACCGAUCGUUUUUAUUUUGUUGGGUUUGAAUUUUAUCCCACCAACCUUGACGGGUUUGGGUUUUAUUCCGCUGAUCGAUUUUAUUCCACCAACCUCGACAGGCUUGGAUUUUAUCCCACUGACCGUUUUUAUUUUGUUGGAUUUGGGUUUUAUCCCACCAACCUCGGCAUGCUUGGAUUUUAUCCCACUAACCCUUUAUUUUGUUAGACUCGGGUUUUAUCCCACCAACCAUAUCGAGUUUGGGUUUUAUCCCACCAACCGUAUCGGGUUUGGGUUUUAUUCCACCAAUCGUUUAUUUUGUUAGGUUUGGGUUAUCCCACCAUUCCUUUUAUUUUCUAGGUUUAAAUUUUUCUAAUUAAUUAAGUUUUGCUAGUUGUUUCAAUCGCAGCUAAGCCAGACAAGUGAAUAAUUUGGUGUCUAUGUCUUUGUCUCGAAUUUCUUAGAAACCCAGACAAAGAGGGGCAAGUUGUAGACACCAAAAUUUAACAAAAUUUUCUUCAUUUUAUUUCUAUUUUUUGUUCAUUUUUUGUUAAAUUUUAUUUUUAUUUUUAUUUAUUUUUGUUUCAUUUCUAUGUCUUGAGAAAAAUCAUUGUAGAAAAAUCGGAAAAGAAAAGAAAAGAAAGAAAAAAAAACAAAAAAAAAAUCAAUCAAAAUCAGCUUUUGCAUUAUAGAAAAAAAAAAAAAAAAAAAAGAGGAAAAGGGCAACCCAAUGCACGCGCGCCAAUCCUUCCCAUGGCUUCGUACGUACCAGAAGCCAUGGAUGAAUAGUACCAAAAUUUGCAGCUGGCCAUUUGUCCAAUUUUCACUCGUUUUCUUUUGCAUUUUUCCUUCCUUUCCAGCCCUUUAGUACAAGAGGACACUUCGUCAGCAUGAAUCAUCAAGAAAAUCCAGAUUAAAAGCCAUCUAAUGGCUUACAAUGGCCAACAAAAAAAAGGCAGCAAACCUGCACCUUAGAUGCUAGGGUUGAGGGUUUUGUGCCUAUAAAAGGCUCCAAAACGCAAGAAAGAACAAGAGGACAAGAGGGAGGCGGCGGAAGAGUAGAUAGAGAGAGAAAAAAGAGAGAAAAAGAGAAAAAAAAAAAAAGGAAAAAUUUCUGCAGAAUUUUCGCAGAAAAGAGCUGAUUUUCAGCCAUUUUGGAACUCAAUUAUCUCUUUCAUCGCAGCUUCAUUCGAUAAGAUUUCAGUUUCCACAUAAACUAGGACGUGAGGAGAGAAAUUUUUGUUUAGAUAUCUCUUGCAAAAAACGUCUAGAAACCUCUCAAAUCGAAGCUCGAACCUGCUUACCUGGCAGAAAAUCUGAAAAAAAAAGUUAAGCCAGGGUUGGGGAGAAGGCAAAUUCGUGAUCAAAAUUUGAUGUCGAAUCUUGGUCUUUUAGAAGUUUAUUUUAAUAUAAAACAUCUACACUUGUAGAGGUGUAAUUUUGGUUCAGUUUUCUUCACGAAAAAACCUCUCUAAAUAGUCCAAAUUUCUGCCCAAAAUUCACCCAUAGUCAGCUCCUGGACGUUCUUGGGCAGAAUUUCGCAGCUUCAAUUUUUCGUUCGGGGGAGUGUUGUCGUCAAAUCCUCCUCUUCAUUUAGCUCUAUAAGACGAUUAAGGUAACUUAAGUCACCUUAUUCUUGUUAUAUACAUUCAGAUUUGUUCCCAAAAGAGGCUAAAAAAUCUGCUACUUCAGUAUCUUUCUUCCUGUUUCAUUUUUUAGAAGUUGCUGUCUUCAAUUGGAGGUUAUGAAACUUUGUUAAUGUUUUUGGUGAUGUUUGCUAAGAGUUUGGGAAAGAAUUUGACUUGAUUUGUUCAGGUCUUGACUGUUUUCCUUUUAUGAUGCAACAUUUGUGUCACUCUUUGCUAUGUUUGACAAACCCAGAAGAGUCGCAGGAGAGAGAAUAAGAAACCAGCGAAGAAGAUGAUGGCUUCGAUUGCUUGCAUUUUUUUUCCAAAUAUUGCAUUUUGACCCCCCAACUUUGGCCUAAUUCCACUACGGCUCAAAAACUUCUGCAAUUGAAUCAAUUUUCCCCCUAUUUUGUCUUAAUCAUUUUUUGCAUGUUUAAAUCUGUCUCUUGAGCAACUUAUUUUCUGGUUUUAGGAUAUACUGAUAUAGUUAGGGUUUAAUAAUUUUAGCUGCUUUUUUUUAUCAUGUUGGAUUUUAGUGAAAUAGGUGAUUUGGGUUAAAAGGUUAUUUUGUUUGUGUUUAAGUGAGUGGGUUUGGGUUAAUUUUUUUGGGUUUUUGGCUUGGGAUGUAGGGUUAAAACCCAGCUGUUUUGUUGGAUUAUUUUGGGUCAAAAUGAUGGACUAACCCGCUUCUUUUGCCUUGGACUUUCGAUUAGGCCAAAUGGCUUUUUACCCAAAGAAAUGUUGAGGAUGGUCUAGUGGUCCAAUUCCUUAAGUGACCUGGUGACGAUAAUUGCGAGUUAGUCCCUAACAUUUUUGUAAUUAUUUUAUGGCUCUAAAAGCUUUAGAUUUUUUCAAUUAGAUCCCUAAUUUAAUUGUAAUUGGGUUCCUAAACUUUAAUUUUCUUUAAAUUUGACCCCUAAUUUUUGUAAUAAUUAUAAUUUAAUCCUAAAAACUUUCUUAGUUUUUACAAUUAGGUCCCUAAUAGUUUUGAUUUCUUAAAUACAAGUUUUCUUUCUUCUUUAACUGUUAAUUAUACUUCAUUUAAGUGCUUUAAUUCGUAGAUUUCAUGAUUAUUUUCAUUUCUUUAUAAUUAAAUUGGUGCCUUGAUCAUUUUGUUUAUUUUGGAGCAUAAAUAUGGCAAAUUUCACCCCCAUUUAAUCACCACUUCAAGGGAGGAUACCUCUUUUAUUAUUUUAAACUCUUUUAUUUGCUCCAAUGUGUUUAAUUGCAUGUUUUGAGUGCUUUUUUUUAAAUUAGUCAUUCUUAUUCAUUUUUAAGUUUCAUUUGUUUUAUUUACUUUUGAUGAUUAUUUGAAAGGCAUCAAAAUGGAAAGUUGUAAUAGACAGGUGCUAAAGACAUGUAUUUAGCUAGCCUAUCUAAUAGAUAGGUUUUAAUCUUUCUUAAAAAUGUAUUUAGUUAAAUAAAUGUAAUAGUUAGGUUAUUAUUUUUUAGAAUUCCCCCCUUUAGAUUGUAGUUAGGGCCCCAAAUGUAAUAGUUAGGUCCUCAUGUGUGUCUAUUUGCUUGUGUGCUUGCAUGCUUAUGUACUUAUGUAUUUUAUUCGCGUUCUUAUGAGAUUUGCAUUUAGAUAUUAUGCUUACGUGCUUUGUGCUUACGUGUUUACUUGUUUUAAUUAUGUUUAUAUGAUUCCUUAUGUUAUAAUAAAUGCAUGACGUCACCACAUUAGUCUAACACUAGUUGUGGUCUAUUUUCUCGAUUUCUCGCUAGUCCAACGCUAGUGAGAACUUAUAGACAUGAGUUAGUCCAAUGCUAGACCCUUAGGGACUGUCCACGUGCUAGACCAUGUUUGCGUAAUGAUCAUUACAUUUCAUGCAUAUUUUCUACUUUUUAGGAUCUUUUCCAUUUUACUUGAUAUUUCCUCUAUAUGUAUAUCCCUUAUCCCUAUGUGUGAAACACGACAUUUAGAUUCGCAUCUCAUUUAGGAAAUUAGAAAUAGGUUAGAUCAUUUGCUUGACUAGAUUAGGCGAGUCACCCUUCAAAUAUGGGAAAUGGACGAGUAUGGCUUCUUAGCCUUAGCACGCUCGUACGUCCUCUAUAAAAGAAAAACUGAGGCACGAAUCUUAAUCCCCCGUACCCAUUAUGUUACAUUCCUUUCUUUUAGGUCACAUAUAUUUAUAUAUUAUAAUUUUUCUUUUCUUUGAAUCUCGCCUUUGCAUAUUCGUGACCUCUUCUAAGAAUCGCUUUUGGGCAUCACAAUUAAUGUGAUUUGUACCAAUUAAACUUUGAAGAGAUAUGUUGACCUUCCUGCUAUCCAUUAGGUCUAGAUUUGCAUCCAUAUAGUAACAUCCAAAUGUGAUAAGUUUUAUAGGUUAAAUUAAGAAAAUUUUCGACUAAAUCGCGCAACUAAUCUUGGCCAGGUUGAAAGGGUGCCUUAAAUCAAAUUUUUGCCUUCCCUUUCUUCAAUCGUGACUCCCGAACUCUUUUCUCUUGUUUUUCGAAAACUUGAAUUCGUCUGAAAAGGGUUUUGUUUAUUUUUUAUUAAAAAACAUAUUUUUGGGUGAUUUGGUACACCUUAACUCAAUACCAAGUGGCGACUCCUAUUUUUCCCAAAAAAACCCUUUUUUAGACUAUUAUUUUGGGCCAAAAUCGUCACACUUUUUAAAUCCCAUUUUUGGCCCUCUUUUUCUUUUAUUUUUCAAAAACUCAUUUUCAGUCAAAAUUAAUCAAAAAUUCAUUUUUAUAGCCCGUAAUUUUAUUUUUUCAAAAAAUGGGGCACGACAAGUGCAAGGUUUAGAAAAACUACCUGGAUCCUUCAACUUUGGUGACAAUUUGUUUUGAAAGAUGGCACUACAUUCCUUUGUCAAUACAAUUGUCUCCUAGUCUUCAAGCUUCCUUUUCCUUCUCAUGAUUUCUUUCAAGAACUUAGCAUAUGAUGGAACCCACUAGAUAGCAUCAACAAAAAGAAUGUUAAUGGGCAAUUGCUUAAAAAUCUUAACAGAUUCUCAGAGUCCUUGUCAACUUGUUUUGGUUGAACCUUUGAGGGAAUAGCACUAGUGGCGAAAUAGGAACUGUCUCAGAGGUUGACGAUUCACCUGUAACUUUCUUUUCCUUAACCUUUUCCCCCUUACUCACCCGUACAUUCUCGCUCACCUUAUUAUUUUCUUUCUUCUGACUUUCUUUUCCAUGCUCAACAAUCAAAGUGUCAUUCAACUGCCAACCAUUACAGAAGCUAAUAACCUUAACAUGAUCUCUAGGAUUGACAUUGAUUUUGCUAGGUAACUCUCCUUGGUUCCUAUUGUUGAUGGCAUUAGCUAUUUGUCGAAAUUGGACCUUAACAUUCCUAUACAUGUUAGUAAUUUGGUCCAUCCUCCCCUCAAAUUAUUUAAACCUUUGUGCAGUGGCAUGAGCUAGUUUAUUGAUCUUGUCAUUGAACACAUUAGCUAGUCACUCAAUAGCCAACUCUCAAGUAGGUCUGGUCGGUCUCCACAAGUGCCAAUCUUGAGUGAAAGCUAGGUGGAUUGAUCGAUUUUGGCUAGUUCCUUGUUCUUUCUAUCUAAAGUUUAGAUGGUUUACUUAUACCCCAGGUGGUACGUAUUGAAAUAUGGAUUGUAUUAGGACUAAUGGCUACAGCUAUUUAGAUAUUGUACGUGCUCAAUACUUGCACAAAUGGAAUCAUCAUGAUCACCUCUACACAUAGUACAACAUGUAACAUUGACAUUUAGGUCAAGACUAGAACCAACUUGCCUAUUAAGCAUUUUUACCACAUUGUCCAUUUUGGCAUUCAACAUAUUCAAGCUAUCAAUCUCAAACAUACCUGCAAGUUUCUUAGCAUUACCUCACUCAUUAUGUGAGGACCCGAAAAUUUUUUUAUUUUAUUUUAUUUUACUGGCUUAAUUAAUUAUUUAAUUCGACCAUUUAAAAUCCAUUUAUAUGGAAAAACGCCUCUUUUAUGUUCUUAAAGCGUUUUGUUAGAAAAGUUACUUUUCGAAAAUUCGUUUAGUUCGGAACAACGAGCAUACUUUUUUUCGAGACUAUAUUGGAAUUGAGAGUGUAUUAAUUUUGGAAAAAUAAGAAUGAUCAAUAGUAGAUUAAGAAAAGUCGUGAGGACUCGUAAAAAUGUAUUUAUUUUAAACUCCUGUUACGACGAGCUUAUUUAAAUAUUUAAUUACCUGUUUGCCCUGAAUAUUAUUUUCUAACCUUUUUAGACCCAAUUAUAUGGAACUAUGAUUUACAUGUAUUUUUAAAAUGACUUGUUACGAAAAUUAAUUUUUGGAAGCUCGUUUAGUGAAAAUAGUAAAUACGCGUUUGGAGACAGCGAUCGAUUUGAGGAUAUAGUGAGUUUGGAAAAUUGGAGACUUACACAAUGGUCUUAAAAUAGGUAUUUUUAUGCUUAAGCAUUCAAGUGAUAGUUAUAAGAAUUUCUUGGAGAUUUCACUUUAUUGCGCUUAAAUUGAAAAUAUGCGUUUUCACACGCGCAAUUUAAUUGAGGGACUUUAGACCCUUAUUUUGGGACAAUUAAGAGUGAAUAAUAUUUAUAUGAAUGUAAGUGCAUUAGAGAUUUAGUGCACAAGUGUAACAAACUUAAGAGGAAUCGAGCAUAAAACGCACGCGUACGCGCACUAAUUGCGGUUGACUUUGUGCACCCAAUACUUAACCAUUAAGCUACCUUCAAGAAGCAAGCUCCAUCAGAUUUUCCCUCUCUCUCCUCACUCCCAGCAGCCGAACCAACAAAGGAGAAAAACAACUCCAAUUCCAUCCUAAUUCCUUCACCAAAUCUUCUCCAUUUCACUUCAAAUUUCAACCACUCUUAGCUAAUCACUUGGAGAUUACAUCAAGCUAAGAAAGAGGGCUGCUUAACACGGUUUUCUUGGGCAUUCAUUGGACCAAAAAUUCUGCCCUAGUUCAUCAAGAGAGGUAAAGGACGAUCAACCCUUCAAAUCUUACUUUAUAGAAGUAGUAUUGCACAUCUAGGCUUAUACAUGCUUAUGAGUAGCUUGUUUAUGUUGGAAAAAUUUUUGUGUGGGCUCUAUGAACUCCCACUUUGGUUGGAUGGACUGACUUGGUGAUUGAUGAUGAAAUUAAUGUUGGUUUAGUGCUUAUAUUAGUGAAAUAAUGUUGGGUUGUUGAUAGAAACUCAAGGAUGGUGAAAUGAGCAAAAGUGACCAUUUUACCCCUGCCCUGUUCGUGCACUUUGGUGCGAAAUUUUGAGGUUCUAAUGGCUGUUUAUGAUGUAUACAUGUUAUAUGGAUAGUGUAGAAAGUUUCGUUGAAAAAUAACAUGAUUUGGUUGGUCAAAUGUGUUGAUUUCCAAAGUAUGGCAGAAUUGAAAAAUUUUCCCGGAUUGCCCAGGCAGUCCUAAUUUUUCGGCUAUAACUUUUUACUCCGAUGUCAAAAUCGAGUGUCGUUUGCAGCACUGGAAACUAGACAUUCCCAGCUUUCUAUUGGUAUAAAAUGCACGUCCUGGUUUCACUUGUAUGAGCCAAAUCAUUCGUUUGAAGUUUGCUGUCCUGUUUCGUUGGUUCACUACAGGGCAGAACAUGAACUACAAAUUGAUGCUCAAAUGUGAGCUAGUUGUGGACAGAUUUUGAAAAUGAUUUCUUCUGAGAACUUGUAGCUUUAUGAAUCUAGUUUUCAACUCCACCAACUACGCUCAAUUCCAAGUUGAAUUGAGUGAGAUAUGGCCAAAUUAUAGACUUGGAUUUUUGCUUGAAAAUCCUCUUUUGGCUAGUUAAAUGGCCUAGCUUGAUUUGGGACUUGUUAUUUUGGAAACUUUGAUGUCCAACAUCUACCAAACUUUAUAUUAGAUGUUCCUUGGACUUUGUUUCACAAAUAAACUAGAUUUGGGUCGGUUGCAUUGGACAAAAUGUUUAAAAAGGAAAGAAGAGCUAGAAGACAGUUUUGCCUUGGGAAAUUUCUUGAACUUUGAUGGUUUAGUUAACUACCUUCCCGUGUGAAUUUUCAAAUGAAAUUCGAUAGAGGAGUAGUCCUCAUAUGGUGGUUUAAUUGUGAAAAAUUUGGUGAUAUUAUAAGACCAUUUUGAUGCAAAUGAUGUCCCGAAAUUGCUCUUCGAAUCUAGAAAACUUUUCCUUUUCUUUUAGCCGAAUGGCCAAUCUUGACUUGGGACUUGUUAUUUCGAAAUUCUUGGUGUUAAUCACCUAAGAAAAUGUGUCUUGAAUGUUACUUAGAUAUUGUCUACACAAAUGAACCAUGUUUGAAAAUAUUUCAUUAGCCAAAUGAUUUAGAAAAGGGAAAUGGUAGCACAAGGCAGCUUUGCCUUGAAAAUUUAGAAAAUUUCGUGACUUUGUUAACCGACUUCCCGUACGUAUUUUUCCAUGAAAUUCGACAGAGGAAUAACCCUUAUAUGGUAGUGUAAUACUACCAAAUUUGAUGCCAUUCCGAGUCCAUUUCAAUGCUUAACCCAAGUCCCAAAGUUUGUGAUUUGAACCUGGAAAUUGCCUAAAAGUUUCGAUUUUUCAGCAACUUUGAGCUACUAUAUCUUGGUGCUCAAAAAUCCGAUUCUUGUUCUGCUUUUUGUGUUUUAAACUUGGAUUAUAAUUCUAAUUGAGUUCCAAAUUUCAGAGGUUGGUUCACAUUGUGUGAAUUUUGCCGAAUUUCCAAACUUUGCCCAAAACCAACCCUGAAACUGUCUCUUAAGCCAAAACAGCAACUUUGAGACAAAUUUUGAAUACCUUCCGUUUGGAAUCAUGGAAAAGUGUCUUCUAGAAACUUUUAGUACUUUGGCAGUAGUUUCCAACAGUACCAAGUUUUCCAAUUUUAGACUCAUAGAGAGUGAGAUCUGAUUUUUCAAAGUUUGCUUUUCGAAUCUGAAAUUUUCGAACUUAAAGGAAAUUAAGGGUUUUGAACUCUCCAUUUUCCUCCGAUAUUACUAGAUCGUUUUACACUUGAUUUCAAAGGCGAAAAUCAGAUUUCUCUUGUGUUUUUGAAACCCACUUCCGAGCCUCGAUUAUAAAUAAUCAAGGUUCAAUUCAUGAAUUCUCCUUAGAUUGUACAUUAGUAUAACUUUCUUUGAUAAGUAGGGGUUCUAAGUAAUAGUGUAUAAUAAUUGAUGGUUAUUUGCUCAGGCGCUCAAGGGGACCUUCAAGAGGGAUUCGGAGCGGACACCUAAACACUUGUUUGGGCGCUUACUCACUUGUUUUGACUAGGUGAGUGUUCCAUAUAGGAGUACGUAAUUUCAAUAAGUCUAUGACAUGCUUAUUCCAUGAUCAUUAAGUAUUAAAUGCUACAUGUCAAGUAUUUACCACAUUCAUGCAUAUUUAAGUAAGGUAUACUUGAAUUACGCGACAUGAAAUACUUGAAUUGUAUAUUUACAUAAAGUGUUUAAAUGAUUAAUUAUGCUAUGGUUGCAUACGUUGGUUGAAGUGAACCUCCUCGACUCUUAAGUGGUAAAAGUGAGAAACGGCCAAUGGCGGCCUAUUAAAAUGACUAAUGUCUACCAAUUAACCGUGAUUACUACCGUUAACCGUCAACCGUUAACCAUUUACCGUAAUUACUUACCGUUUUUCUAUCUACUUGAUUACCUGGUACUUGAUUAUUUGGUUAUCGUAAAUUAUAUGUUCACAUGAAAUUAUCAAAUAUUGCCUACGUGUUUAUGUGUUAAUUGAUGCCAAUAAUUGCUCAUAUGAAAUUGUCCACCAUUUUAAGGCAAGCGUGUACUUUAUCUCACUCGACCUACCAAAAGAAUAAAUUUUUACCGUUCGCCAAGUUAUUUGAUUACUUGUGCAUGUUGUAAGUUCUAAGCUGAACUUGGGCCCUGCCCUUGGUUACUGACCUACUCGAGUCAGGACUGGGUUCGGUCGGGUAGGUUGAAACCCUGGGCUACCGUUUCAGUAUACUCGAGUAUUACCACUGGAGGGAUAAGGCGAUGGUCAGACAGUACCAUGGGGACCGGAAGUCAUAAGGUGCAGAUGACCGAAAUGGUUCCAAUGGAACACCGUAUCCUUCAAUGUGUGUUUAUUUUACAUAAUGAUAACCGUUUCAUGCAAAUGUGCCAUACCUGUGAUAUGCUCAAAUUACUCGUACAAUGAUUAUUGUCUCAUGUUAAUAUGCCAAUGUGCAACCUUGAACCAUACAUGCAGUAUGUUCAAUUACUUGAUUUAUUUGAACUGCUAGAGUGUCUUGGAACCUCAUUGGGCUGUGUAGCUCAUUCCACGAUUUUAUUUUCCUUAACAAGGUUCGAGACCAAGAACGAUCGUGAAUAGUACUAGAUAGCUUUCUUUUGAAAAUUUAAAGUUGUAUUAUAGUGGAUGACUGUAGUAAAUAUUCUUUUGGGUUGUAUUAAGUUUGAGAACUGAUUAAUUGUAAGUGUGAGAUAUUUUGGAGUACUUUAAUUAUGUAUUGAAAUUAUUUGAAAUAUUCUUGAAUUGUGGAUUGUAGUGAGUCAUAGCGAGAGUUGGGCAGGCGUCUCGCGGAUACCCUUUGGUUCGCCUUAGGGAGAAGUGGGGGCGUCACACAUUAGCCAAUUGAUAGUUAUUUGUAGCAAUCUCCUCUAUUAAUUGUUGUGCUUCAUCACCUAAUUUGCCCAUGAAAGCUCCUCCCAUUGCAUAUCCACAUGAGUUUUAGUUGGAUAUGCUAGUCCAUUGUAAAAUGUUUGUUCAAUGAGCCAAUCAGUUAGUUCGUGAUGUGCACAUUUCCGUUGCAACUCCCAAAAUUGCUCCCAAGCAUCAUAAAAUGACUUGCCUUCCUAUUGGUAAAAAAUCGUUAUAUCCGUGCCAAACUUAACAAUCUUUCUUGGUGGAAAAUAUUUGUUCAAAAGUGCAUGUGACAAAUCAUUCUAAGUUGAGAAAGUGAUUGGUAUGUGAGAUUGCAACCAAACUUUGGCCUUGCCUUUUAAUGAAAAUGGAAACAAUCUAAAUCUAAUUUCAUCAUCGCUUACCCCAUUAAGCUUGAUUCUAUCACAAAUUUCCAAGAAAGUAGCUAAGUGAGUAUUAAGGUCCUUGGUCGCAUUACCUCCAAAUUGAUAUUGUUGCACUAUAAUGAGUGAAGGUUAAGCAUUUAUCAUAAGUCUCACAAUACUUGUUUUAAGCUAGUACCUCUAGGCAAUGCAAAGUCCCUUAAUACUCAUCUAUUUGCCUCCUCAACCAUGACUUCUUGUGGUUGCUCUUGUGAUGUUACUCCAAUAGCCUUGGCUUCCAGCUUCUCUUAACAAUGAUGGAUGUGGAUUAGAUGGAACCUAAGUAGUAGACACAUAAAAGUAGUUAUGCACUUAGAUGGAUUUGUUGCGCAUCUCCUUGAUCUUCAUGAACUACCAUUAGUAAUUUCACCACGAAAGUAUGAAGGCCUAAUGUUGGCAAAAAUCAACUCAUUGGUGAAAGCAAGUCUUGAUUACAUUUGGAAGUGAAAUCUCUAGUAGGACAAGAAUGAUUAGUGAAAAUUUAAGAAGCCAAAUCUUGAACUAUUAGUGGAUUAUAGACCCUAGGACACUUGUGUUUAGUUGAGUUUCUCCAAUUUCAUUACUUUCAUUUGCAUAGGUUUUACAUUGCUAUUACUUUACAUUUUAUAUGCUCUUGUUAGUUUAGAUAAUAAAGUGAGUUACAAGCCUUAGUAAUUAGGCAUGUUUCUCAUGUGAUCAAUCCUACCACCUUACAUACUACAAGCGCGACAUGUAUACUUGCAGCAAACGAGGGGUUCAGAAUAUAAACAUUGAGUGCAAGUUUGAACCUCAUCAUUAUACGUGAGUUAUAGGGAUACUAUAAUUUCAUAAAACAUGUUCUUGGAGAAUGUGUGAGUCAAUCACCACAACUUGAGGUUCUUUUAGUCCAUUUUUGGCUUUAGAUAAAAGAAUAGGAAAGAUACAUGAAUACUUGAAAUGUAAGGAUAUGAUAAUAUGUAAAACCAUAGGGGAAUUGUUAGUAAUUUACUUAUAUAAUAAAAAUGGAUAACUCUAAGUCUGGCAAGGAUACUUAAACUCGGAUAUAUGAUGAUUCAAAAAUUCCAAAAGACUUAUGAUGUAAGACAAAGGCAGUGUGACAAUUGCCCAGAAGAGUCUUCUCUCUCUCUCUCUCUCUCAGCCCUUUCAAGGCAGCAUAAGAUAACUAUAAUGGAGAAAGAACAUACGAUGGCUGCUAUUCUUUCUAUAUUCUUUCUAUAAUAUAGAAGGAACUUGACACAUUCAUUUGUAGAAGAAAAAGAUUGAUUGCAAGAACCGGUUCACUCUCAUAUUUUUAUAGUCUUUAUACAUGAUAAGGCUAAAAGAUACAUGAUCACGUCCACAAAAAGCAACCAAGAAUUUAGUAAGAAUUAAAGAAAGAAAAGUAAACUUGUUUUGAAAUGGAUUAAAAAGAAGAAAAAAUGAAAAGCAAAAUAAAAGCAGUUAUGAAAUGUGCCCUAUAACUGAAAGUCCAAAUGUGAUGCAACUGACACCUAUGGAAUCAAGUACAUCUCUCUCCAACCUUCACAAUAAAUCAAGCUUUUGGAUUAUACAGCAAUAUUUGCUUGAUCUGGUUUGCAACAUUGUAUCUGGUCCACUCAAGGUUUGACUGUUGGCUAGAAGAAAUAGUAGGUUAUGAGUUCAAAAGAAUACGAAAAGCAACUUCCUAUAUCGAGAGGUAAAAUUUGCACAAAAUGGUAAGAACUUACUAUGAUAAGAAGUUGGUGUUUAAUCUUCUUCAAUUCUACUAAAACAUCUUUCAUAUUCAUCCUUUCUCCUGGAGAUUCUCUACAGCAGUUCAAAGCCAAUUUCAUGAUAAAUAUAACACAUUUCAUCUUAUCGGUGAAAUGCUCAUCCUCUUGCCUUAUUAAGUUCGCAUCAAUGACCUGAAAUGCAUCAGGGAGAGAAUCUUCUACCCAACUUUUAAGGAUCAAAUCUCGUGAAAACAUUUCAUCAGUGGGCUUUACCCUUGUAAAAGUUUCCAUCAAAACUAUUCCAAAACUGUAUACAUCGAUUCUUGUGGAAACUAUCCCUUCUGAUCCAUACUCUGUCAUAAGAUUACAAUAGUUAAAAUAAUUGAAAUAUCUGAAAGACUGAUAAAAAACGGACAAACAUAAAAGUAAAGAAAAUGUAGACAGCAAAAGCUAAAAGAUUAACCUGGUGCAAUGUAUCCCAGUGUUGCAAAGGUUUCGGUGUGCAAAAUACUUUCUCCUUCACCAAACAUUUUUGUAAUACCAAAAUCACUUACAUGAGCGACCAUAUCUUCAUCAAGCAAGAUGUUACUGGGCUUCAGGUCACAAUGUACCACAGGAAUAUUGUAACCAUAAUGGAGAUACUCCAAUGCACAAGCAACAUCGAUCAUUAUAUUUACUCUUUGAAUUAGAUCUAAUAAAUAGUUGUGCGAGUACAACCACGUCUCAAGACUCCCGUUGGGCAUGUAUUUGAGCACCAAGGCUUUAAAUUCAGGGUUGGAGCAACUACCAAGCACCUUUGUAAGAUUUCGAUGGCGUAGACUCUUUAGUACCUCACAUUCUCUAUCAAAACUUUUCAAUGCACCUUCCACUUGCAAGUUGAAUACCUUGAUAGCCACAGCAAUGCCAUCACUUAGGAUCCCUUUGUAAACAGAACCAAUGCUCCCUUUUCCAAUCAAAUUGCUUUCACUGUAGUUAUUAGUUGAGUGCAAAAGUUCAUAGUAUGAAAAUCUUCCAUAUUUUGCCACUGACAUCAACUCUGUUCCACUAGAAAUGUUUGGUUUCUUCAACCAUCUUAGAAUCCAUAUUGUUAUAGUAACUACCAUCAAUAUUGCUGCAAUACCUGACAGCAACAUUACAAGCAGAAGCUUCUUUCUUUUGUUUGAUUUUGUAAUUGAAUUACUUUGACAUGGUGGAACACUAAGCCUUGGGUCACCACAGAGUGCUUCAUUGUUCAUGAAUAAUUGACCUGUAAAGCUUCUAAAGGGACCACCUCGAGGAAUUUCACCACUUAAUCUAUUAAAAGAAACGUUAAAUUCCUUAAGGUAUUUGAGUGCUUCCAAUGACUUGGGUAUUGUGCCAGAGAGAUUAUUGUGUGAAAUGUCCAAGAAUUCCAAGUUCAACAUGUUACUAAUUGAUUUUGGUAUAGAACCCUGUAAAUUAUUUUUUGCCAAUGAAAGAGUUUGUAAAGCUUGUAGCUCUCCAAUUGUAGUAGGAAUAACAUCUGACAACUUAUUAAUCGAGAGAUCUAAACUAUAUAUUGCUUUGAGGUUCCCAAUCUCUCGAGGCAGCGAUCCACUAAAGAAAUUUGAUGACAGGCUUAGAACUUGGAGAUCUUUCAUGCUCAAUAGCGUAGCAGGUAUGGUGGAUGCCAACCUGUUGGAGUCCAGAAAUAUCUGUCUCAAACUUGUCAUAUUUCUGAAGCAUUCUGGAAUACUACCAAAGAAUUGAUUUUGGCCUAAUGCUAAGUACCCCAAACUUUGGAAUCCACAAAAACUGUCCAAGACAUCUCUUAUUUGAUUGGACUCUAAGUAAAACUCCUGAAGAUUCAUCAGCCUAUUGAUAGUUCUUGGGAUAGAUCCAAUCAAUUCAUUAUUUGAAAAAUCAAGGUAUAAUAAACUGCUCAAAUUGCUGAUUCCGAGUGGGAUGCUUCCUUUGAUUUUACAAUUGAAUGCACCAAAAUCUUCUAGAGAACUUGAGUAGUUAGAAAAGGAAGCUGGUAGAAAACCAUUUAGAGGAUUUUGAUGCACCUCUAAAUAUCUCAAGGAUCUACAAGUCGUCAAGGAAGUGAAAAAGCUUAAUUCUGGAGAUGAGGAUUCACUUGACAGCCUAUUGAAAGCCAAGUUUAUCAAUUGAAGAUUUCUUAAACUUCCUAAAGAGCUGGGAAUUGAACCUAUGAGCUCAUUAUCGUCAAGCAUCAAAUCAACAAGGUUUGAAGCAUUUGAGAUGGAGUUAGGAAUAACUCCACUUAAGUAAUUCUGAUAAAGAGAUAAAGUCUCCAGAUUGUUAAGCUUAUGAUUCAUUGUCAAAGGAAUAGUUCCUGAGAACUUGUUCUGAUAGAGUUCAAUAACUUGGAGAGAUGAAAUGUUAGAAAUUUCUGUAGGUAUGGAACCCGACAAUGUAUUAUCACCUAGAACAAGCGUCUCCAAUCUGUGAAGGUUCCCAAUCUUUUCAGGUAUUCCACCUAUAAAAUGGCAAAGCACUUUUGUGUUAGCACUAGUAAAUAAUCCACGUGCUUUGCACGUGAGUAUAGUAAUCCAAAAAUAUUAUUUUUGUAGCUAAUAAAAUUUGUUGUGAAAGUUUUGACAAUCUACCUCAUAAUAUAACUUAUGUGUAUUUUUUAAUUUCUCUAACUAAUUUUGGCUGCAAGUAUAUUCAAAUUUUGAACUCUUUGACCACAAGCUAUUAGAACUUUUUUUUUGAGCUUUUAUUGAUUAAAUUUGGAUUGAACUUUAAUAACAAUUAUUAACACUAUCAUGUUUUACCAAUGGUGUUGUGAUUUCCCUUAAAUUAUAAAAUUGCACAUUUUUGUAUAGUUCAAAAUCAUGUUAUUAAAAUGAAAUAUAUAUGCACAUAUCAAGUUUGGGAGAAGCAAAUCUAAUUUGUAAGUGUAUUAAAAUUUUAAAAGGAGUAUUAGAAUGCAACAUGAAUUGACUUAUUAGAUCUUUAUCAUUUUGAUUAUUGUACUAUACAUCUACUUUUCCUUCCUCUGAUGCAUUCGCAAGCUCUCUUAUCGGUCUAGAUAUGUCUUUUUCCGAUUGAAAGUAAAAUCUAUGAUAAACCUUCUACUAAAAUUAUUAGAUUUUAACAACCGAAAAACUAAGAUUUGGAUAAAUUAUUAAACACUUCCUAAAUAGUAUUUGCAAUAUCAAUACUUAUGAUUACUAAUUAUUUAAUUGUAGACUUACAAUCAGUUAAUUACUUAAGAAUAAAAUAUAUGAAUGGUAUUUCUUUUUUCUUUAGCUUGAGUUUUCUACAAUUUUCAUUUCAUAUAAAACCUAAUUCUCUGGAGGGUAGAUGAUUAUUAUUUAUCAUGUUAUAGGAGUUGAAUUAGUUAGCUUUUUGAUGAAGUUCUUUAGUAUGAAGUGAGCUGCAUUACUUUUUAAAUUUUUUUGCACCAUUUUUUGAAUUGUCUACAUAUAUAUUUUUUUGUAUAUGAACUCUCUGUAAUUAUUUAAUUCACAAGGGUAUGUUUAAUCCAUCAUAUUUAAUUAUUUCUGUGUGAAUGUUCAUUGUCAUCAAUUGAGAUUUCAUUGACUGCAGUAGUUGAGUAUUCUCUUUUCCAUUUAUCUUCUAUUGUUUUUAUAAUUUUGUUUGAAGACAAUGCAACAUAAAGCACAGACAACAACUAUUCCUUUUCUACACUAAUCUGAUAAAUGGCAUGUUCAAUAUGGAUACGUUUAAAUUAAUCCAUAGAUUUUUUUUUGGAUUUUUUCCUUUUUGUCUUAGACGAUAAAACUCUAAUUGUGAUAUCAAAAUUAGUUAGUUGAUUGUAGGUGAAAUAUAAGAAAAUUUUUUAUUGUUUGCUUGGAUUUGGGUGACAUGAAUUGUCAUUUCAAUUGAAACUAAAUUGUUUGCAUGUUUGUUAGUUGCAUGAACAUUUAAGUGCUUUCUUUUAUAUCAUGUUAAUUGUUUAGCAUUUCAAUUUUUAUAUGAAUUUGAAUGGGAUAAAGUGAAGUGUAAUAUUCAUUGAAUUUGGACUAUUUACAUUUUAUCUAAGUGUUUUUCUUAUUAAUAGAGAAUGUAAAUUAUUCAUAAUGCUCAAUCAUUUUGGAUUGGUUAUUUAAUUUUUAGUUAAAAUUCAUUUGAUUGAAAUAGUUGGGUUUUAUAUUUUACUUUUUUUUAUUUCUUCAUAUUGGUAAAAAGUGCAUAAUUGUGAAAUUUUGUUCGUGAUAUUUCUAUGAAAAUAUACAAAUGCAUAAGGGCUCUCUUUUUCUUGUAUGUUUCUCUUUUUUUCCAAAGAGUAUCUAUUUUUUGAAAUUGAUUUUUUUUUUUACAAUCUCAAAUAAUGACUAAUGAGAAAUUUUUCAUGUUUCGAUUAAAAAAUUUUGAUAUGUAUAAUAAUUGGAGAUGUUGUCCAAGGUUAGGUAAAUAGUUUUUAAUUAUAAUUACCAAUACUAUUGAGAUGUAAUCAAUUGGAAAAUUUUAUUUCUUUUAAUUAAUGUUACAUUGAAAUGCAAUAAUUCUAAUUAAAAGACAAGAGGGUAAUUUAGGGAUAACAAAAAUUAAGAUAAAAAAGUGCUUACACUCCCUAAUACCAAGAUUCAUACUUUUUAUAUAAUAAUGAUAAUGAUAAUGAAAUGAUAAUAUUGGUCCUAUCCAACAAGGCUCUAAAUUUAAAAAAUAGAUAUUAAUAGAAGGUUAUAGGACCUCCCUGAUCCUUCUAUUCGUUGCUUCAAAAUUGAUCUCUCUGAACAUUAAAUCCAUUAGAAAGAAAUGCUGAUAUCAAUCAACUGAACAUAAGCCCAAGCAUCCUACGUACAGAUCAUAUUGAUGUUGAGUUUUAACGACCGUCUACAGAAUGAAGACCUUAUGAUUAGGAACUAAGACAUACCUGUCAAUUUGUUGCUUUGAAAAUAUAAACUCGUCAACCAAGCUAAAUUCCCUAUUUCCAUUGGAAUUGCACCUACAAAAUUGCAACUUUUGUGAGUUUGAUUUGAUUUAUAAUGAAAAAAUAUAGUAACAAACAAUGAUGUGAUUUUUGGACUUUCAAAUGCAUUAAUUAGAAACGAUUGUGUUCCUUUUACCCUAUAGCCAACGGUUUAAGCAAUUAAGGCCAUGUAAUUAGAGGUUUGGCAUACCACUCAAUUUGUUGACGGCAAAAUCUAAAAUGGUCAGCAUGGUUAGAUUCCCUAUUUCAUUUGGAGUUGCACCUGCAAAAUUGCAACUUUUGUGAGCUUGAUUUGAGUCGUAACGAAAGCACAUAAUAGCAACAUUAAUGAGACUAUUGAACUCUCCAAAUGCAAUAAUUGGAAAUGAUAAUAGAGUGUCUAUUACAUUAACAAACAAAGAAUAUAGAACUAAUUACAUUUACCUUCCUUUUUUCUAAGGCCUUUUUUUUAUAUUUUUAAUAUAAGUGGGAGGGAUCAAAUCCACUCCCUCUUGCUUACACUUCCUCCCCGGGAUCAUCCAAUCCAUCUGUCUCCCUUGCAUUCACCUUCUUUGAGGUUUAACCAAAUUAUAGAUCACACCUUCAAUUUUGGCAACAUUAUGGCCACCCUUGUCAGUGAUUAAACAAGGAAAAUUAAACAGAGCUUUUUUCCUAUUAAAUUCCUAAAAACAAGCGCUCCACGAAAACAAGAAGCAACUUCCAUGUCAUCCCAAACUAUUGAGAGAUUAUUAAAAUUCAACAAGGAUUUACAUAAAAGAAAAAAGAAAAAGAAGAUGAAGAUAGUAAAUUCCAAACUAUUCAGGAAAUGGUUGCAUACCUAAUUUGUAUAUAGAAAAAUGAAAAAACCAAACCCAUAAUUAUUUAGCAAACAAAUGACCACGGGAUUGUGACAGAUAUAGUUGUUAUAUUUCUUCGAUAAUUUGGUGUAUGCUUUGUAUUGAAACAUUAAAUUGAUGUUCAUAAAUAAAAUUUUUAAGUACAAUAAAAUUAUAUAAACGCACAACAUCUUAUGCAAAAAAAAUAUAUAUAUAUAUACAACAACUAGACAAGUAUAUGAAAAUCCAGUAGUAUGUCGUGAACGCAAGCGGCAAUUGUUGUUUCCUAUUGUUUUACUUGUAUUUUGAGUCAUUUAAAUAUCGCUACGUUCAAAUUACAUUGCAGGCCAACAUUAAAGUAAUUGUGAAUUCUUCUGCGUCCAGUAUCUCUUCAAAAGAAUUUCAUCCAGUCUCUUUGCAUACGAGCAUCGAUUUAGCGUAAACCAAACCGUAAGGAUGCAAAUUUAUUUGUUCUCAUCUCCAUUUAGCUGUCAGUCUGUCAUACACAUCUAUCCUCAGCGCGGACAAACAGCACCCGUCACCCAUUUAGGCCCGUCAAUGGGCCGGGUUCGAGUCGAAAUUCAUUAUUCUAGAUCCGGACCCGGCAUAUCAUACCGAACCCGAAUCUGACCAGUUUAUCCGACGGGUCUUGGAUCGGGGUCGGGUCUAUCCGAAAAAAAUUAUCAAAACUUACAAUUUCUAAUAAAAAUGAGAAAAAAAUAUAUUUGUAAGCUAAUUUUUAACUACUACCAAAAAAACCAAACAAGAAAAGAAAUCAAAUUGAUUUUACUCAAAUACAUCACCCCUAAUCUAAUUAUAUUGAUAAAUAUAUAUAUUUUAAAUUAUUAAUCCAUUUAUAUCCGGAUCCGGAUCUAAUACGGGGUGAAAUACUAUAUUCCGUAUCUGACCUGUUUUUUGUUUGACAAAAUGGAUUCGGAUCCGAGUCCGGAUAACGGAAUUAAAUCCCUACCCGUACCCGCAAAAAUUUCACGGAUCCGAUCCGACUCCGGGUUUAGACCCGGACCGUUGACAGGCCUACCCCAUUCAGACCCCAUAGAAGAAUGGGAGAGGGGCAGGGACGGUUAAGCUAAUGGACAAGAUUUGAUCACCAAAAUUUGUAAGGUCCAGAUUUUAACAUGUGUGAGACCCACAAAAUAUUGCACUAGUAUUACUCACUGUUGUUCUAGUGUUACAUCGUGUACAAAUGAUGUUACACCAUAUACAAAAUGCACACAAGCUUUCGGAACGGUUGCACUGACAACCGUUCCAGCCCCGAGUCCCAGAAGAACAGAACAGAAGGGGCGCACCUUAGAGGGGCAUCUUGGUCAUUUACUGUUCGAAGGGGAGUGUAUCAUAACAUAAUUAGUCCUCAUUUCUCUCUCUUCUUGAUGAGUCGACUCCUUUCUUCUUCUUCCCCUCCUUCUCUUGCUCUGCCUAAUUCUAUUCUUAAUUCCUUAUCUGAAAUAACUAAAUUGAUCUCUAAAGACUUGAAGGCUUGACACUGCAUUUGACCCUGGUCGAACAGCCAUCACUCCUGGCCCCUACUGCAGCAUCUUGCUUUUCAUCUUAGUUGUUGUAAGCCUCCAAUCCAAUGGAUUCCUACUCUCGCACAACUACUUGGUUCAAUCUACCUCCUUCAACCUUAGGUCGGCCUUUUGUCGGAAAGUAAACCCCCAAAUCCUUCAACUAUUACUCCUUCUAUCUGAUUCCUAAAUAGUCUACCAUUACCAUAACUUGCCAAAUAACAACAAUUACCCUGCUUGUUCUUCAACUACGCCACCAAGUUGCUCCUACCUCUGCUCACCUUCCUAUGGAUCUGUAUGCGAUAGUUUACUGGGGUGUGUGUUUGUGUGUGUUUAUAUAUUUGUGUGGUAAUGUCCAUAGAAUGGUGUUUUUAUGUGAAAGUUACAUGAAGAUGGUGAUAAAGAAUGGGUCAAAUGAUGAGAAAAUUGUAAGGGGAAGAUGACGAUGGUGAAUUUUUUUUUUUUUUAUUUUAUGUUUUGAGAAUUUCAGGUUGGCAAGGGUAUUUUAUGGCCUAAAUUUCAAUUAUCAAAUUUAACUUCGAUUAUCUUUUGCUCAUGAACUUCUCAGACUAAAGAUUUUACUUCAAUGGUGAAAAGAUGGACAUGGGAGAAAGGAUAUGUUGGUAACAGAAAACUUGGUUGAAUAGAGAGAAAAGAAAGGUUGGGCUUCAGGGUAUCAUCGGACUUCUAUUAAAAAAUAAUAAUGCUAACGUUAAUAGAGUCAUAAUAUAACGGUUAAUCUUAAGAGUUUGUUAGGCCUCAGACGGUAAAGGCGUUUAGAUUAUAAAUCUGUUUGGAUGUGGGACAUUUUGGUAAUACUGACAAAUUUUAGGGUCUAUCUUAUAAUUGGAUCAAACUUUGGAGAGGUGAAUUGUAAUUAACAAAAGAAUAUAUGCAUAGUCAUACAUAAAAGUGAAUGUCUAUGUGGGUGUAUGUAUGUGUAUCCCAAAAUCCAAUUACAUGAUUAAAUAUUUAAGGUUGCAUUUUUUAUUUGCAUGAAGUCUUAGAGCAUGAUCCACAAGGGAGAAAGGAAUGGUUUGAGUAUGGAGAAAGGAGAGUAUAAAUGAGAAGUUUCGAAUUUAAAAUCUCUCACUUACACUAAAACAAAAAAAGUUUCAUAAAAAUUGAUCCACAAGGAAUUGUCCAGGAAAACCACAAAAAUAAAAUGAUGGUAUAGUUUUUUUUUUUUGUAGUAAAAUAUGCUAGACUCACCAAACUUUUCAAAAGUCUCAUUUGAUCCAUUGACCUAUUUUUUAUACCAAAUUAUUUACUAAAUCUUUUAAAAGUCUCAUCUUAUCCAAUUAGCUAUUUUUUGUACUAAAUAGCACACUAAAUUUUUAAAGCGGUUCAUUUUUUUAACUAUUUGUUAAAUUUUGUUAUUAAGGCAGUUGCAAGUUUGCUAUUUAGU